rnacentral:lncRNA from 1 species
UCCCAAUGGGUUUUCCUUGGUGAGGUUUUUAAUGAGGAAGAUCUCAUGGUGGUUCCAAGCUUAACUAAGUUACUAAGUUAAGCUUGAGGGGGAAGGAUGAAUCACUUUGUAAGAAGCUUGAUUUGGAUACAUAAAGUGUUGGAGAAUCACCAGGAAGUUGAAUAAAUCUCAUAGGUGUGAAAAUAAGUGGUUCAGUAUAUGAGGAGAUGGCUUAAAGAGUUGAGGAUGUGAGAAUGUGGAGGAAAAGGGAAGGAAGGUUAGGGAUCGACCAGGCCGUACAAGAGGCCGUACCGGCCGUACUGUCCGUACUGUCCGGGUCGAUCCAUAACUCGACCAAGCGGGAAGUUACCCGGGUGAAAGGGUUAAACGGCCAAAGGGGUUUUACCUUAGGAGAUAUGACCGUUUGGAUGGAGGGAGUGACCGCGGCUUAUCCUGACAGUCUGGCACAUGCUGUAAAGGCAAAAGGAACCGAGUCCAAGAUGCCAAAAGCGUGUGACAGCUCCCAUUGGUUUACAUUUGAAUUAAAGCAAUCUUAUCCUUGACCUCACAUGCUUAGCGUUUCCUAAUACCCUAAUGUCUCUCUCUAUAUAUUGUAAACUCUGUCUUGAUUAAUGAAUAACACGAGUUCAUCAUAUUCUCUCUCUAGUUCAUCAUGUUUCUCUUCUACAUUUCAUAAAUCAUCUUAUCUCACUUUAAUCUUUCUCUAAAUCUCUCAAUACCUGUUCAACUCUCUAAAAUCAUAAUAGGAGUUGGGAUUAAGAAGUUAUCCCACCUUCUAAUCAGGUGAUUCCAGUUUCCCAGUUUGGGAAUAGGACAGCUUCUCCGUCGUUCCAAUCAAACCAGGAUGAAUCACUUUGUAAGAAGCUUGAUUUGGAUACAUAAAGUGUUGGAGAAUCACCAGGAAGUUGAAUAAAUCUCAUAGGUGUGAAAAUAAGUGGUUCAGUAUAUGAGGAGAUGGCUUAAAGAGUUGAGGAUGUGAGAAUGUGGAGGAAAAGGGAAGGAAGGUUAGGGAUCGACCAGGCCGUACAAGAGGCCGUACCGGCCGUACUGUCCGUACUGUCCGGGUCGAUCCAUAACUCGACCAAGCGGGAAGUUACCCGGGUGAAAGGGUUAAACGGCCAAAGGGGUUUUACCUUAGGAGAUAUGACCGUUUGGAUGGAGGGAGUGACCGCGGCUUAUCCUGACAGUCUGGCACAUGCUGUAAAGGCAAAAGGAACCGAGUCCAAGAUGCCAAAAGCGUGUGACAGCUCCCAUUGGUUUACAUUUGAAUUAAAGCAAUCUUAUCCUUGACCUCACAUGCUUAGCGUUUCCUAAUACCCUAAUGUCUCUCUCUAUAUAUUGUAAACUCUGUCUUGAUUAAUGAAUAACACGAGUUCAUCAUAUUCUCUCUCUAGUUCAUCAUGUUUCUCUUCUACAUUUCAUAAAUCAUCUCAUCUCACUUUAAUCUUUCUCUAAAUCUCUCAAUACCUGUUCAACUCUCUAAAAUCAUAUGGUAUCAGAGCCAGGUUGGCUUUGGUAUUGAGAUUUAGAGUGUUCUUCAGCUUCAGUUCAUACUCUUUCAUACUUUCUUGUCGGUUCUAACAAAGCAAGAUGGAGGGAAACUACAAGGUCAUUACGGUUCCUGUUGCGUUGAAGGGUGGUAGUAACUACCUGUUGUGGUCAAGGCUGGUGAAGACAGCCAUUGGGAGGAUAGGGCUGUGGAGUCACAUCACGGAUGAUGCAACCAAGCCAGUGGCUAAAGACGGAGAAGGAGAUGAGGGUGUGGGAGAUCAAGUCGCUGCUGCCGAGAAGAAGUGGAUUCAAGAAGACUUGAUGGUGCUUUCAGUACUACAAGGGUCCCUUGAAGAGCAUCUCUUGGAGGCCUACAGCUACUGCGAGACUCCAAAACACCUGUGGGAGGUACUCCAGAAGACUUUUGGGAACGUUACCAAUCUGAACCGCGUGUAUGAGAUUAAGAAGGCUAUCAACACACUGGUUCAAGAUGGAGAAGAGUUCACCAAGCAUUUGGGCAAGUAUAGAUCCUUGUGGUCUGAGCUUGAAUCAUUGAGGCCAAGCACCGCGGAUCAAGAGCUACUCAUGGAGAGGAGGGAGCAGGAUCAGGUGUUCGGAUUGUUGCUGACACUAGAUCCUCCGUUCAAUGAUGUGAUCAAGCACAUGUUGAGGAUGCCGAGUCUUCCAUCUAUGGAGGAAGUGUGUGCGCAGAUUCAGAAGGAAGAGGGGUCACUUGGUAUGUUUGGAGGGAAAGGAGACAUGGCUCUGUCCAACAAGGCUGAAGCAAUCCAAGCACACAAGGCUGCUUACCGUGGAGAGGAAAGGAAGUUCAGUGGAAACUGUGACCAUUGCAAGAAGCCGGGACACAAGAGGAGUCAGUGCUGGAUCCUACACCCCCAUUUGAAGCCAGCCAAGUUCAACAAGGAGAGAGAGGGAAGAGCUCACCUUUCUGCAGAGACAAGUGAAGCUGGCGCAUCAGGAGCUGGCUCAUCUGGUCUUGCGGGUGAAAGUGAAGGAAGAGCCUUAACCUCUCACCACCAAGGAGCUGUGAAGAAUAUGGAUCAUGAGGUGAUCAAGAAGUCAGACAUUGAUGCCUUGAUCAAAGCCCUUAAAGAGUCUGGUAAAGCCCUUGGUUAUUCCUAUACUGCUCAUGUGUUGCCUAGAACUUGUGAUAGCUUGCUAGGAAACUUUGAUAGAAUGGGAAAUGAACCAGAUAGAUAUACAACCUUUGCUGCUGAUAGGAUGUCUAGAAAUGAAUUCACAUUGCUUGAUCUCAUUGAUAAACUGAAACUGGUAAAAGAAUCACCUAGGAAUCAUAUUGCUCAAGGAAUAAAACCGUUGAUUAUUGAUUCAGGUGCUUCACAUCAUAUGAUAAGUGAUGAUAGCCUUAUAAAGAACAUAGAACCGGCUCAUGGACAUGUAAUGAUUGCAAAUGGUGAUAGAAUUCCUAUUAGAGGAGUAGGAGACUUGAAACUGUUUAAUAAGGAUUCUAAAGCUUUAUACAUGCCUGAGUUUACUUCUAAUCUAUUAUCUGUUAAGAGGUGUACCAAUGAUCUUCAAUGCAAUGUUAUUUUCAGUCCUAAUGAUGUGAAAUUUCAGGAUAUUGAAAGCAGUAAGUUGAUUGGGCAAGGAGUAACCAAAGGAGACCUUUAUUUACUUGAAGACCUUUCUAUCAUUUCUAGUUCUAAUUGCUUGUUGAGUUCCGUUUUAAGUAGAGGUGCAUUAUGGCAUUCUAGGCUAGGACAUCCACAUGUUAGAGCCUUAAGCUUAAUGUUACCAGGUGUCAUGUUUAAAAAUAAUGAAUGUGAAGCUUGUAUUUUGGGAAAACAUUGUAAGACUGUGUUCAAGAGAUCUACUACUAUCUAUGAUAAAUGCUUUGAUCUUGUUCAUUCUGAUGUAUGGACUGCUCCAUGCUUGUCUAGGGACAAUUACAAAUACUUUGUCACAUUCAUAGAUGAAAAAUCCAAAUACACCUGGAUAACACUAAUUAAAACAAAGGAUAGGGUUCUAGAUGCAUUUAGAAACUUUCAAUCAUAUGUUUCUAACCAGUAUAAUGCCAAGAUUAAGAUUUUCAGGUCUGAUAAUGGUGGAGAGUAUACUGGCCAUGCAUUCAAGAACCAUCUAGCUCAACAUGGGAUACUUCACCAAACGAGUUGCCCUUAUACACCUCAACAAAAUGGAGUGGCUGAGAGAAAGAACAGACAUCUUAUGGAAGUGGCUAGAUCAAUGAUGUUCCAGAUGAGAGUGCCAAAGAGAUUCUGGAGUGAUGCUGUGAUCACGGCUUGCUACCUAAUCAAUAGGAUUCCAACCAAGAUCCUGGAAGACAAAGCUCCUUAUGAAGUUCUCAACAACAGCAAGCCAGUCCUAGAUCACCUAAGAGUGUUUGGGUGUGUAAGCUAUGUUCUUAUCCCGGGAGAGAUAAGAAACAAGCUGGAAGCAAAGAGUAUCAAAGCUAUGAUGAUAGGAUACUCAACCACACAGAAGGGAUACAAGUGCUUUGUUCCUGAGUCAAGGAGAGUUCUUGUAUCAAGAGAUGUCAAGUUCUUUGAAGAGAAGAGCUACUAUGAAGAUAAAGAUUGGAAAGAGCUGGAGGAUCUUUCACAACCUUCAGAUAGAGCUACAAGCUUGAGACAGAUACUAGAAGGCCUUGGAAUUGGAAUGUCCCAGGAGUCGACAGAGAAUCAGUCAUCUGAAAGACAAGAAGCUGAAGAACCAUCUCACCUUGAUCAUGAGGGAGGGAAUGGAAUUGAGCCGGAUGAGAAUCAAGAUUUUGCUCAAGAUUUUGCGGAUCAUCCUGAUCAAGGUGGAGCUGAACCAAGUAAUGAAGAGGUUAAUGAGUUACCAGAACAAGGAGAAGUGGAAACAACUGAAGUAGAAGCACCAGAGCAAGCACCAGCUGAGGUACCAUUGAGGAGAAGCACACGGCUGAAGAGAGAUGCUUCCAACUGGGUAAACACGAGAGUGUACUACAAUGCCCAGGCUGUGGAGCAUCCUUCUCAAGCUGUGUGUUCAUUUGCCUAUUAUCCAAAGGAGCAUUGCGCAUUCAUGAUGAGCCUAGAUGAAAGUAGUGUACCAAGAUCAUAUGAAGAGGCAAUGCUACAUCAAGAUUGGAAGGAAUCUGUUGGAGAUGAGGCAAAUGCCAUGAUAAAGAAUGACACUUGGUUUGAAAGUGAGUUGCCAAAAGGAAAGAAGGCAGUAACCAGCAAGUGGAUAUUCACCAUUAAGUAUCUACCUGAUGGAACCAUUGACAGAAAGAAGACAAGACUGGUGGCUAGAGGAUACACUCAAACAUAUGGGGAAGACUACAUUGAUACCUUUGCCCCUGUUGCUAAGCUACAUACAAUAAGAAUUGUAUUGUCUCUUGCUGUGAACCUUGAGUGGGAGCUUUGGCAGAUGGAUGUGAAGAAUGCAUUUCUUCAGGGAGAACUAGAAGAUGAAGUGUACAUGCAUCCACCACCGGGUCUUGAACAUCUUGUGAAACCAGGGAAUGUAUUGAGACUCAAGAAGGCAAUCUAUGGGUUGAAGCAAUCACCUAGAGCAUGGUACAACAAGCUGAGUACUACUCUGAAUGGCCGUGGGUUCAAGAAGUCAGAGUUGGAUCACACCCUCUUCACCCUCACUACACCUUCAGGUAUCAUCUGUCUACUCGUGUAUGUUGAUGACAUUAUCAUAACAGGUAGUGAUAAGGCUGGUAUAAAAGCCACAAAGGAGUUUUUGAAAUCUGUGUUUGAAAUCAAGGACUUAGGGGAAAUGAAAUACUUCCUUGGAAUUGAGUUGUGUAGAUCUAAGGAAGGAUUGUUCAUUUCCCAAAGGAAGUAUACACUUGAUCUUUUGAAAGAUGCAGGUAUACAAGGAGACAAGACAGCAAAGAUGCCUCUUGAAGAUGGAUACAAGGUUCCACGUGAGGGGGAGGUUGAAGAUAGCAAGGCCUUUCAUGAUCCAAAGCUGUACAGGAAGCUAGUAGGGAAGCUCAUCUACCUUACAAUCACACGACCAGACAUAUGCUUUGCGGUGAACCAAGUGAGCCAGCAUAUGCAAGUCCCAAAGGAUCAUCACUGGCGAAUGGUGGAGAGACUUCUCUUGUAUCUGAAUGGAACGUCAAGCCUUGGAGUGUGGAUGGGAUGCAACAAGAGCACUGAAGUGGUGGGAUACUGUGAUGCGGAUUGGGCUGGAGAUAGAGCAGACAGGAGAUCAACCACCGGCUAUUGUACAUUCAUUGGAGGCAACUUGGUGACUUGGAAGAGUAAGAAGCAGAAGGUGGUGUCUUGUUCAAGCGCUGAAGCUGAGUAUAGAGCAAUGCUGAAGCUUACCAAUGAGUUGGUAUGGAUCAAAGGAAUCUUGAAGCAUUUGGAGAUAGAGCAGGGAACUCCAAUGACUAUGCAUUGUGAUAAUCAAGCGGCUAUACACAUUGCGACCAACUCAGUCUUCCAUGAGAGAACCAAGCACAUUGAAGUUGAUUGUCACAAGGUGAGGCAGAUGAUUGUCUUGGGAGUGAUCUUGCCAUGCUACACAAGGAGUGAGGAUCAACUUGCGGAUGUAUUCACCAAGGCUGCAAGACAAAAGACUAUGGAGUCCAUUCAUACCAGAUUGGGGCUCAUAGAUCUUUCCCCAAGGAGCUGAUCCCCUUUGCCAUGAGGUCUUUACUCUUUUUCCCUCAUCAAGGUUUUGUCCCAAUGGGUUUUAUGACUUUUAGGAAUGUAAAAGAUAAUCUGAGUUUAGAAAGGAUUAGAGAAGGAGAAUAAGAGAUUAAGAGACAACUUAGAGACUAAUGGAGAAUCAUAGUGAAAUGAGUAGAGAGAAAGAUUGUUUAGAACUGUCUAAUCUUUAUUAAUGACUGAGGUUACAUAUAUAUAGUCCUAAGCAUUAGGGUUUUUCGAAAACAUAAGGAUAGCUAAGCAUGUGAAGUCAAGGGAAGAGCCUUUGCUUUUGUUUGAACCGGCCAAUGACAAGCUUCACACGAUUAGGCAUCUUCCUGAUCCAAGUCCAAGAUGCUCUUCCUUUCCAGUCUUUGCCAGCCUGUCUUAGCUGUCAAUGCGCGCCUCUCUUAUCCACUCCAACGUCUGGAUAAGCUCUUGGUCGAGUGUAACUUCACCUCAGUUCAUGUGAGUUACUCGGUGAAGUUACUGUCCUCCCUUUUACCUUGUACGGUCAGUGUACGGAUGAUCCGUCCGUACCAUUGCUCAACUCACUCUCUCCUUUCACUCCUUUGCUUCCUCAUUUCCUUAACUCCUCAAUGCCUUCUCAUAUACCUCAGCACAUUCCAACACUCCCCCUCAAGCUUAGCUUUGUGAAAGCCUAAGCUUGGACAGCUAUGAGAUCUUCCUCAUUAAAAACCUUACCAAGGAAAACCCAUUGGGAUAAAACCUUGAUAAGGGAAAAAGAGUAAAGACCUCACAGCCAAAGGGGAUCAGCUCCUUCUCUUCCCAAGAUCAAUGAGGCCCAACCUGAUGUGAAUGGACUCCAUUGUCUUCUGUCUUGCAGCCUUGGUGAACACAUCAGCCAACUGAUCUUCACUCCUUGUGUAGCAUGGCAAGAUGACUCCUAAGAUGAUCAUCUGCCUCACCUUGUGGCAAUCCACUUCAAUGUGCUUGGUUCUCUCAUGGAACACCGAGUUGGAGGCAAUGUGGAUGGCAGCUUGGUUAUCACAGUGCAUUGUCAUUGGCGUGGCUUGAUCAAUCUCCAAAUGCUUCAAGAUGCCCUUGAUCCACACCAGCUCGUUGGUCAGCUUCAGCAUAGCUCUAUACUCAGCUUCUGCACUUGAGCAAGACACCACCUUCUGCUUCUUACUCUUCCACGUUACCAAGUUGCCUCCAAUGAAUGUGCAAUAGCCUGUGGUUGAUCUCCUGUCUGCUCUAUCACCAGCCCAAUCCGCAUCACAGUAUCCAACCACUUCAGUGCUCCCAUUGCAACCCAUCCAUACUCCUUGAUCAGGUGAGCCGUUGAGAUACAUCAAGAUCCUCUCCACCAUGCGCCAAUGAUGUUCCUUAGGCACUUGCAUGUGUUGACUCACCUGAUUCACAGCAAAGCAAAUGUCAGGCCUAGUUAUGGUAAGAUAAAUCAAUUUACCAACUAGCUUUCUAUAGAGUUUAGGAUCCUGAUAAGGUUUGCUGUCUUCAAUCUCCCCCUCUCGUGGGACUUUGUAGCCAUCUUCCAUAGGCAUCCUUGCUGUCUUGCCUCCAUAAGCACCUGCACCUUUCAAAAGAUCAAGUGUAUACUUCCUUUGGGACAUGAAUAAACCUUCCUUGGAUCUACAUAUCUCAAUUCCAAGAAAGUAUUUCAUUUCUCCCAAGUCUUUAAUCUCAAACAUGGAUUUAAGGAACUCCUUGGUUGCUAUGAUACCUUCCUUAUCACUUCCUGUGAUAAUGAUAUCAUCAACAUACACAAGGAGUGCAAUCAUACCUGAGGAAGUAGUGAGAGUGAAGAGGGUGUGGUCUAGUUCAGACUUCUUGAAGCCUCGUCCAUUCAGAGUAGUGCUCAGCUUGUUGUACCACGCUCUUGGUGAUUGCUUCAGUCCAUAAAUAGCUUUCUUCAGUCUCAGCACAUUCCCUCUCUUCACCAAGUGUUCCAAGCCUGGAGGUGGAUGCAUAUACACUUCAUCCUCAAGUUCUCCUUGUAGGAAAGCAUUCUUCACAUCCAUUUGCCAUAAGCCCCAUCCAAGGUUCACAGCCAAGCUUAAUACAAUUCGGAUUGUGUGGAGCUUAGCUACUGGUGCAAAGGUCUCAAUGUAGUCUUCUCCAUAAGUUUGAGUGAAACCUCUUGCAACCAGUCUUGACUUCUUCCUCUCAACCGUUCCAUCAGCCUUAUACUUGAUUGUGAAGAUCCAUCUACUAGUCACAGCCUUCUUCCCCUUUGGUAAUUCACUCUCAUACCAUGUAUCAUUCUUGAUCAUAGCUCCUGCCUCAGCUCCAACUGAUUCCUUCCAUUCUUUAUCCAUCACUGCCUCUUCAUAGCUUCUUGGAAUGUAGUUCUCAUCCAAGUUCACCAUAAAAGCACAAUGUUCUUCAGGGUAUUGAGCAAAGGAACACACAGCUUGAGAAGGAUGCUCCACAGCUUGGGCAUUGUAGUACACUCGCGUGUUUACCCAAGAGGAAGGAUCCUUUCUCAGCCUUGUGCUUCUCCUCAAUGCUGGUUGUUCUUGUUCUUGAACCGGCUCAUCUUGUGUAUGCGGUUCUUGUGCUUCACUCUGAUGUUCUUCCUCUCCUUGGUCUUGCUCACCUUGAUGAUGAGAACCUGAGUUGAACUCUCCUCCUUCCUCACUCAAGCCGACUCCUUCUUGGCCAUGUUCUUGAGUUUCAGGUUCACUUCCCCCCUCAUGAUCAAGGUGAGGUGUUUGAGCAGCUCCACUUGGUGCAGUUGAGCUCUCUUCUUGUCUUCCACUUCUUGUGGAUUGAUCCUGGUUCAUCUUGAUACCGAGACCUUCCAAAAUGAUCCUUAAGACUCCAGCCUUAUCUGAUGUGAGAUCCUUCAAAUCUUCUUGAUUCUUCUCCUCAUAGUAUCCUCUUUCUUCAAUGAACUUCACAUCUCUAGAUACAAGCACCCUUCUAGCUUCUGGAUCAUAACACUUGUAUCCUUUUUGAGUUGUGGAGUAGCCAAUGAACAUUGCCUUUCUGCUUCUUGCUUCUAGCUUGUUCCUCAACUCUCCUGGUACUAGAACAUAGCAUAAGCAUCCAAACACUCUCAUGUAUUCCAAGGAUGGCUUGCGCUUGUUCAGAACUUCAAAUGGUGCUUGAUCCUUCAACACCUUUGUAGGCAUCCUGUUGAUUAGGUAGCACGCAGUAGAUACAGCAUCACUCCAGAAUCUCUUAGGUACAUUAGCUCGGAACAUCAGUGACCGAGCUACUUCCAUCAAGUGCCUGUUCUUCCUCUCAGCUACACCAUUCUGUUGUGGUGUGUAGGGACAGCUUGUUUGAUGAAGGAUUCCAUGGUGAUCUAGAUGACUCUUGAAUGUGGCGUGUAGGGACAGCUUGUUUGAUGAAGGAUUCCAUGAUGAUCUAGAUGACUCUUGAACGCAUAGCUUGUGUACUCUCCUCCAUUAUCUGAUCUCAAAAUCUUAAUCCUAGCAUGAUAAUGGUUAGUCACAUAAGCUUGAAAGUUCUUGAAUGCAUCUAUCACCCUAUCUUUUGAUGGAAUGAGUGUUAACCAGGUGUAUUUAGAUUUUUCAUCAAUGAAUGUGACAAAGUACUUAUGAUUAUCUCUGGAAAAACUAGGUGCAGUCCACACAUCAGUAUGAAUCAAAUCAAAGCAGUUUUCAUAAACGGUAGAUGUUCUUGGAAAUACAUUCUUACAAUGCUUGCCUAAAAUGCAAGCCUCACACUUAUUAUUUUCAAAAACCACACCUGGUAACAUCAAGUUUAAAGCCCUCUCAUGGGGAUGACCUAAUCUAGCAUGCCACAAUGCAUUUUUAUUCAAACUAGAAGCAGAAGUAAAUGAGCAGUUAUAAUUGGAAACAGGAUCAAGCUUCUCAAGCAUGUAUAAGUCUCCCUUUGUAACUCCUGUGCCAAUCAAUUGGCUGCUCUCAAUAUCCUGAAACUUCACAUCAUUAGGACUGAAUAUAACAUUGCAAUUCAAGUCAGUAGUGCAUUUCUUAACUGAAAGUAAGUUUGAUGUGAAUUCCGGAAUGUAAAAUGCUCUAGUGUUCUUAUCAAAUAGCUUCAAGUUUCCUAUUCCUUUAAUAGGUAUCUUAUCCCCAUUUGCAAUCAUCACACAUCCAUUAGUAGGUUCUAUAUCCUUAAUCAGGUUGGUGUCACUAAUCAUAUGAUGAGAUGCACCUGAAUCUAUAAUCAAUGGUUUGGAUGUAUUGCUAGCACUAUGGCAGAUGCUAAUUUGUGAUCUAUAUGCAUUCAUCCUAGCAUUUCUAUCAAUGCAAUGUUCAAUUCCAUUCUUACUAUCAAUCCUAGCAAUCUCAGCCACAUUAGGAGUCAUUUCUAUAGUUCUAGCAAUCAUAGAAGCACCAAAUGAAUACCCAUGAAUGUUACCAUUAUCCUUGAGCAUUUUGAUGAGUGCAUCCAUCUCGGAUCUCCUGAUGAAGUCUUGAUCAUUGCCUCGGGGGUUGAUAGCUCCAGUAUAGGUCACCAAAGCCUUUCCAUCUCCUUCACGGUUCUCCACUUCAGCUCCUCGGUUAGAUGGCCCUGCUCCGCUUGAUCCUUCAGUCAUGUGAGCUUUUGCCUCUCUCUCCUUCAUGAACUUAGCCGGCUUCAAGUGGGGAUGGAGUAUCCAGCACUGGCUCUUCUUGUGUCCAUGCUUCUUGCAAUGAUCGCAAUUCCCAUUGAACUUCCUAUCCUCAUACUUGUUGUACCCAGCUUUGUUGGCUUGUGGAGGCUCUUCCCGGUCAGGUUGCACAGCAUUCGCAAGAGAUAAGUCUCCCUUGCCUCCAAACAAACCCAUUGAGCCCUGCUCUUUCUGUAUCUUAGCGCAUACCUCCUCAAGGUCAGGCAGCUUCUCGGACCUCAGCAUGUGCUGAAUGAGACCAUUGUAGUUUGCAUUCAACGUGAGCAGCAACCCAAAGACCUUGUCCUGCUCACGCCUCUCAUUUAGAAGCUCUGGAUCAACCGUGCUUGGCCUCAGCAUUUCCAACUCAGACCAGAGAGACCUGAACCUCCCCAAGUGUUUAGUGAACUCCAUGUCAUCUUGAGCUAACCCAUUGAUCGCCUUCUUGACUUCAAACACUCGGUUCAGGUUAGAAGUGUUUCCAUACACUUUCUUCAGAGUAUCCCACAGCUCCUUGGCUGUCUCACAGUAGCUAUAAGCAUCUAGGAUAGCCGGCUCCAACGAAGCAUGAAGAACUGACAUCACAAUCAUGUCUUCUUGUUGCCACUUCUCUACAACACUCUCCUCGGAGCUCUCCUUAUCACCCUCCUGAGUAAUCGCCAUUGGAGCCUCACCAGAUGUGAUAUGCUUCCACAAACCCUUGCUUCCCACAGCAGUCUUCACCAUCCUAGACCAAACUAGGUAGUUGCUUCCUUUGAAUGUCACCGCGACCUUCAUCUUCAUGCCACUCUCCAUCUUGAACAGCUUGACGUCUACAGCUUGAACCACCGGUUAGAUCUUGUACUGAGAACCCACGCUGCUCUCUAGAACACAGAUUCACUCUUGAGUCUUCAAAUGAACCUCCCACGGACCACCAAGACACACGCAAAACACCUUGAGCUUUUGAACUCUCAAGAAACUCUCAAACACACUCACUUGUUCCCUUAAAGUUUCAAGCUUGAAUCUUUAAGAGAAUCACUCACGAACUCAGAUUGUAAUCAACCUGGCUCUGAUACCAUAUGACUUUUAGGAAUGUAAAAGAUAAUCUGAGUUUAGAAAGGAUUAGAGAAGGAGAAUAAGAGAUUAAGAGACAACUUAGAGACUAAUGGAGAAUCAUAGUGAAAUGAGUAGAGAGAAAGAUUGUUUAGAACUGUCUAAUCUUUAUUAAUGACUGAGGUUACAUAUAUAUAGUCCUAAGCAUUAGGGUUUUUCGAAAACAUAAGGAUAGCUAAGCAUGUGAAGUCAAGGGAGGAGCCUUUGCUUUUGUUUGAACCGGCCAAUGACAAGCUUCACACGAUUAGGCAUCUUCCUGAUCCAAGUCCAAGAUGCUCUUCCUUUCCAGUCUUUGCCAGCCUGGCUUAGCUGUCAAUGCGCGCCUCUCUUAUCCACUCCAACGUCUGGAUAAGCUCUUGGUCGAGUGUAACUUCACCUCAGUUCAUGUGAGUUACUCGGUGAAGUUACUGUCCUCCCUUUUCCCUUGUACGGUCAGUGUACGGAUGAUCCGUCCGUACCAUUGCCCAACUCACUCUUUCCUUUCACUCCUUUGCUUCCUCAUUUCCUUAACUCCUCAAUGCCUAUGCUCAAUUCUCUCUUUCCUUUCACUCCUUUGCUUCCUCAUUUCCUUAACUCCUCAAUGCCUUCUCAUAUACCUCAGCACAUUCCAACACCUUGCAGAUCAAGUUUGUAGGCAUUGUCAUUGAUCCUCUUGGUGACUUCAAAAGGGCCAUCAAUCCUCGGCAUUAGCUUAGACUUCCUCUCUUUUGGAAACCUUUCUUUCCUCAAGUGAACACAUACUUGAUCUCCAACUUCAAGGAUCAUCUCACGCCUUCCCUUGUUGGCUUGUUUGGCGUAUUGCUUAGUUUUCUCUUCUAGAUUGCGCUUAGCUUGCUCAUGAAUCUGCUGAACUAUCUCAGCUUUCUAUUGCUUAGUCUUCUCUUCUAUGUUGCGCCUUGCUUGUUCAUGAAGUUGUUGUACCUUCUCUGCCUUCUUCUUGCCAUCAAGACUAACUCUUUCACACUCAGGUAAAGGUAUUAGAUCCAAAGGUGAGAUGGGAUUGAACCCAUAAACAAUUUCAAAAGGAGAAAACUUAGAAGCAGAAUGCAUAGCAUGAUUGUAUGCAAAUUCACAAUGAGGCAAGUAAUCUUCCCAUGAUUUCAAGUUCUUUUUGAUGAAUGCACGCAGGAGAGUACCUAAGGUUCUAUUAACUACUUCAGUCUGCCCAUCAGUUUGUGGAUGACAAGUAGUAGAAAACAAUAGCUUAGUUCCUAGUUUAGACCACAAUGUUUUCCAAAAGUAGCUAAGGAAUUUAGUAUCUCUAUCUGAAACUAUAGUCCUAGGCAUUCCAUGCAAACGUACCACUUCUUUAAAGAACAAAUUAGCUACAUGUAAUGCAUCAUCAGUCUUAUUGCAAGCUAUGAAAUGUGCCAUUUUAGAGAAUCUAUCAACAACCACAAAGAUAGAAUCCUUUCCAGUCCUAGUUCUAGGUAAACCCAUAACAAAAUCCAGAGAUAUAUCAUUCCAAGGAUGAGUAGGAAUAGGCAAAGGAGUAUACAAACCGUGAGGUUGAACUUUAGACUUUGCAAGCUUGCAAGUUGUGCACCUUCCACAGAUUCUCUCCACAUCUCUUUUCAUAUGCGGCCAAUAGAAGUGAUCCUGCAAAACUUUAAGGGUUUUUGCUAUACCAAAAUGACCCAUCAAGCUUCCUCCAUGGGAUUCUCUGACAAAUAGAUCUCUCAAAGAGCAAUUAGGCACACAUAAACGAUUGUCAUAGAAUAAGAAUCCAUCAUGCCUAAAAUAAUGUCCUAAAGCAUACUUAGCACAUGAUUUAUAAGCUUCUUGAAAGUCAGGAUCAGAUUCAUACAUUUCUUUAAUCUGCUCAAAGCCUAGCAACUUAGCAUCAAGAGUAGUUAAGAGGACAUACCUUCGGGAUAGUGCAUCAGCAACUAUAUUCUCCUUACCUUGUUUGUAUUUGAUCACAUACGGGAAGGUUUCAAUGAAUUCUACCCAUCUAGCAUGUCUCUUGCUGAGCUUACUUUGUCCUUUAAGAUAUUUGAGAGACUCAUGGUCGGUGUGAAUGACAAACUCCUUUGGCCAGAGAUAGUGCUGCCAAGUCUGUAGAGCUCUCACCAAGGCGUAGAGUUCUUUGUCAUAAGUGGCAUAGUUGAGAGUAGCUCCACUGAGUUUCUCACUAAAGUAAGCAAUAGGUCUUUUAUCCUGCAUCAACACAGCACCAAUUCCAAUCCCUGAGGCAUCACAUUCUAUUUCAAAUGUUUUAGAAAAAUCAGGAAGUAUGAGAAGAGGAGAUUGAGUAAGCUUCUCUUUAAGGAGUUGGAAUGCGGCUUCCUGAGCUCCUCCCCACUUGAAUCCUACAUCCUUCUUGAUUAUCUCAGUUAGGGGAGCUGCUAGAGUGCUGAAAUCCUUCACAAAACGCCUAUAAAAACCUGCCAGUCCAUGAAAACUCCUUACUUCUCCCACUGUAGUUGGACUCGGCCACUCUUGUAUUGCUUUGAUCUUUUCCUGAUCCACUUUUACACCAUCUGCACUUACAACAAAACCUAGAAAGACCAAGUUAUCUGUGCAAAAAGUGCACUUCUUUAGAUUGGCAUAUAGCUUUUCCUUUCUCAAAACAUCCAAAACAGCCCUAAGAUGUUCUAUAUGAUCUUCUAAGCAUUUGCUGUAAACUAAGAUAUCAUCAAAGUACACAACAACAAAGAUGCCUAUGAAAGACCUAAGAAUAUGAUUCAUCAAUCUCAUGAAUGUACUAGGCGCAUUGGUUAAUCCAAAUGGCAUAACUAACCAUUCAUACAAGCCAUGUUUAGUUUUAAAUGCAGUUUUUCACUCAUCUCCUUCUUUCAUCCUAAUCUGAUGAUAUCCACUUUUCAAGUCUAUCUUAGAAAAGAUGCAAGAACCAUGCAAUUCAUCAAGCAUAUCAUCUAAUCUAGGAAUAGGGUGGCGAUACUUCACUGUUAUGUUGUUGAUUGCUCUACAAUCAACACACAUGCGCCAGCUCCCAUCUUUCUUUGGCACAAGGAGCACUGGAACUGCACAAGGACUCAAACUCUCUCGGAUAUGACCCUUCUCCAUCAGCUCCUCUACUUGUUUUUGCAGUUCUUUGGUUUCAACUGGAUUGGUCCUGUAUGCUGGACGGUUGGGCAGUGUAGAACCAGGCACAAAGUCUAUUUGGUGCUCAAUCCCACGCACUGGAGGUAAUCCAAUGGGGCUAUCUUCUGGAAACACAUCUGCAUAUUCCUGUAAAAGAGAAACUACAAUGGGGCUAUCCUCUGGAAACACAUCUGCAUAUUCCUGUAAAAGAGAAACUAGUUCACUCGGAUGAUCCGGUGUGUGAUCAGUAACUGUUAGAAGAGUCCCUUUAAACCUAAGCAAGAUAAUAGAAUUUUGAGAGUAGAGAAUUCUUUUGAUAUCUCCCUGUUUGGCAUAGAGGCUGUGAUGCUUGUCAUGAUCAGGUUUGAGAUCAAUCUCUUUUGCUUUCUUUUUCUGAAGCUGGAUUUGAUCUUCAUGAACCUCUUUAGGAGACAAAGGCACCAGCACAGUCUUCUUUCCGUUGAAUUCAAAAGAAUGUUUGUUGGUGAAGCCAUCAUGAUUCACGCGUCUAUCAUACUGCCAGGGUCUUCCAAGGAGUAUAUGACUGGCUUCCAUUGGCAACACAUCACACAAGACUUCAUCUUCAUAUCUACCAAUGGCUAUAGGAACCAGUACUUGAGUAGAAACUUUCAUCUCGCCCUCUUCAUUGAGCCACUGCAAUCUGUAGGGUCUUGGGUGUUUCUGAAUCUUCAAACCCAAUUUCUUCACCAUAGUCUCACUAGCUACAUUGACACAACUUCCUCCAUCAAUAAUGAGACUGCACACCUUUCCCUGAACCAUACACCUUGUGUAGAAUAGAUUCUCUCGCUGCUCAAGCUCUCCAUUCUUGGCUUGCAAGUUCAAGAGCCUUCUUGUUACCAACAACCUUCCUUUCACGGGUUCUACUUCACUUUCUUCUUCAGACUUCUCAUGAUCAGAAUCAAACUUCUCUUCUUCUGAUUCAUACUCUCCAUUCUCAAGAAGAAUCAUAACCUUUUUGUUGGUGCACUCAUUAGCAUAAUGCCCACGCCCUUGACAUUUGAAGCACUUAACAUCUCUAGUUCUUGAACUAGUAAUUUCAGCUUUGCCUUUGUCUUUGCUGUAUAUGCUGCUCGGCUUAGUUUCUUCUUUCUGCUGAGGCUUGCUAUCCUUCAGAUAGGAUGUUUUCUCUUCUUUAGAGUGGUGGAACUUAGACGAUCCAUAGCUGCGUGAGUUACCCUUCCUCUUGAGCUGCUGCUCCACUAGAAUAGCUUUGUGCAACAUCUCUUCUAUUUCCACAUAGUGUUGCAUCUCCACAUUGUCUUGUAUCUCGCGGUUAAGUCCUCCAAGAAACCUUGCCAUAGUAGCUUCUCUAUCCUCCAAGAUACUAGCUCUCAACAUCAGCAACUCCAUGUCUUGAUAGUAUUCUUCAACAGUUCGUGUUCCUUGGGUAAGUCUCCGUAGCUUUUGAUGUAGGUCACGGUGAUAAUGGCUUGGAACAAACCGUUUGCGCAUGAGUGACUUCAUCUCGUGCCAUGAAUCAACCGGAUUCUCUUGGUUAAGCCGUCUAGUAGUUACAAGCUGAUCCCACCAACUCAACGCAUAAUCAUAGAAUUCAGUUGCUGCAAUCUUGAUCCUUUGGGCAUUAGAGUAGUGUUGGCAAUUGAAGACAAGCUCGAUCUUCUUUUCCCAUUCCAAGUAGGCAUCUGGAUCCACCUUGCCAUGGAAGGGUGGAAUCUUAAGCUUAAGUCCUGAAAGCUUGUCUUUGCGUGACCCCCUUCCAUCAUGUUCACGCCUUGAUCUUCCUCUGCUCAGUUCAGAAGAAGAACUACUGCGCUCAGUUGGGUUGUGCUCAGUUCUAUUGCGCGAGUAGUAGUUGUCGGUCUCUUGUGAAUGUGAGAGCUCUUGCCGUACUGGAGAUGUCGGUCUCUUGUGAAUGUGAGAAUAGACAGAUUAUGGUGUGUGAGUGUUGUUUAGAACAGAGAGUGGUCGGAUUGAAAGAGAACAGAGUGAAGACAGUAAGUGAGAAUUAAAGAGACUGCAAUGGAGCAAAAGAGAGAUUAAGUGAGAUUUGAGAGAGUAUGAGAGAGAUUCUUGUAACCAGAGAUUAGGGAGAGUAUAAGAGACUUGAGAAUGGUGAAGAAGAAAGGGGAAACUCCCCCAUUCAGCUUAAUUUCGUAAUGGUUACAAUGGGGUGGCUUUAAAGCCUUUACAACAAGACAAACAAGACAAUAAACAAAGAAUAUUUCAGGGAAUGAAUAAAUAAUAUUAUCCUGGGCAAAUCAGAAGGGCAGACUGGCUGGAGAGAGAGAAUGGCACGUCCAGCAUGAGAGAAAGUGACAUAUCCUAACAGCUCUUUGGUCCUUAAGCUGGCAUGUGACUUCUGAUCUGAUUUGAAUUCAAACCGGAUGUCUAGGCGCCAAUUUGCACACAUUACUUUCUGAAGAAGAUUCUUGGCGCCAGGGACUCCCUCCCUAUCUUUGCACCAACAUGAUUCGUACUCUCUUGCACAGAUUUUGCACAUCUCUUCUUUUUUGGGUGAUUCAAGGCAGUCCCGGACAUUGCACAUUUCAUGAUCUUCCAUGUGCAUUCUCAAGGCUUCUCUUGCACUCACUUCUCAGCUUGCGCUUCUUGCUUCUUCAUUCCAACACUCCCCCUCAAGCUUGACCAUAUGAGAUCCUUGGACAAGCUUGGAACCUUGAAGAAGCUCCCUCAUUAAAAACCUUAGCAAGAAAACCCAUUGGGACAAAACUUUGAUGAGGGAAAAAGAGUAAAGACCUAACCCAUUGGGACAAAACUUGCUAAGGGAAAAAGAGUGGAGUUUCCACAAAGCUUAGGGAUUGGCCAGUGAGCCUAAGGAACUUCAGAUUCAUCAUGGUGGAGUCCUUAGGCUCUGGAUCGUGGCCUAAUAGGUAUAGCAAGUAUGAAUCACCAUAACUUGCUAUCCUUGAGCACAAGUAGCCGGCUGGAUCAUUUUGUGGCCGGUUUAGGGUCUCCCCCUCUCAACUGGCUUCAAGCCACCUUAGGAAGGCAAGGAAACGACCAGACCAUCUUCUCUGAACCCCCAGCAAAGUUACUUGUUCUUUAGAACUUGGCUUGACCUCUUCAUGGAACCAUAGACUCGGUUAGGAUCUCCCCCUCUCAACUGACUUCUUUGGCCAUCUUAGAAAGGCUAGGACAUGACCGGAUCAUCAUCAUCAUCUUCAGUGAGGCUCAAGCUUAUUUUGGUACCUGAUGCAUCAUUUCAAAAAAUGCAUCAGUUCUUAAGGAAAUGCACUCAUCACAUCAAACUCAAUAAUAGUUUAAGUAUAAGGACAAUCAUGAAUGUAUUGAGAUGAGUUAAGGUGCUUCCCUUUUAUAAGAAUGGCCAGGAGUGGACUCCAAAUUGAAUCCACACUUGGUAAGACACAGUCCGGAUUAUGGAAGUUCAAUCACACACUUGGAACUGAGCUUCUUUGACCCGGUUGGUACUGAGUAAUGCAAGAGUGAAUCCACCACUUGCAAACUCCACUUUUGAUCAGAGGUGAGGCAAUGAACGACUUGGAUUGGCGCCAGUUGCUUCACCGUCAAAUCACCUUUGAGCUUCUUCUUAUGACCUGAGCUUGUCUCCCCCUUUCUUCUUGCUUCUUGCCUCCAUUUAGGAGUUGAGACAAAGCUUUUCUUUGUUCAUGAGCUCAAUAGGUACCUGAUUCAAUCAUCCAAAAUAUGCAUGUAUCAAUUCUCAAGGGGCAAACCUAUUCACACAUAAGAAUAAUAAUGGUUUUAGGUACUUCCCUUGCAUCAGUUUGUUGAAUGUUGGUGAGGAUUGCUAAGCACUUGAAUCCUCCACGCCAUUCCUUCUCUCAACCAGCCUUUGCAUUUUUCUCUUGAAGUUUCAGCAUGUAGGGAAGCUCAGCACUUUUCAACUCCAUAAUUUGCCACCAUCAUGUGAUUGCUUAGCCAAUACUUUCCCUGAUUGAAUACUCCUUGAGUCCUUGAAUAUGGCUGGUCAGAGUAGUGGGGUGUGCCAGCUUCUUCAGACUGAUCACUUAGGCCCCUCCUUAUUAAAUCGCCAUGCAACCUCUUCUUCUUGAUCAUCUAUUUUGACACAUAGAUGUUGCUGGCCUUCUAUGAGGAAAAGAGACACUUAGGAGCUUCAUGGAUCUUCUGGUAGCUCACUGAUUCCCCUCCUCAAGCUUGGCUGAGUAUAGGGACAAGCUUGAAUGUGAGCUUCAAUGAGUUUUGAAACUGGGAGCACAACAAUACCAACAUCUGCGCUUAAGCCAACCAGUUCACUAUCUUCCAGGAGCACAACAAUACCAACAUCUGCGCUUAAGCCAACUGGAUCACCAUUUUCCUUCAGCUCUAAUGUCUUUGGGCCACCAGUCUCCCCAUGACUUAGGUGAUGACCUUCCUUAUGAGUCUCUUGAACCAGGAGCACAACAGCUCCUACGCCUGCGCUUAAGCCAACUGGUUCUACUCACAAGGUAUCUUUACAUGGUCAGGACUAAACACCUUGAUCCAUGCCUCUGACCACCGGCCACUCUUGGCUUAGUGAUGGCCUUUUCUCUUGAGUGCACCUCCUGUACAUCCUCUUGGCAUCAGGUAAGUCACUUCUGAGCAGUUUCUCCAAUUCUCCAACAUCCUUUCUAUCUUCAGGGUAGGAAAUGGGCAGACACAUAGAUAGGAUUUGGGACUGGGCAAUCUCCACGGUUCAGGAAUAUCCAUCUUGGGAGGCUCUGUAAAACGUGGGCAAUGCCUUCUUCUUUGUCUUAGUUUUAUGAUGGACAGAGAUCACCUCUUGUGUACCUGAAACAUCACUCAAACUCCAGCAAGAAUCAGACCACACACACUAGGAUCAGCCCUUGAUAAUUCACCAAGUCUGAUCCCAAUGUUUUAAAAAGAAAUAUGCAAUGAACAGAAUCUAAACAACUCAUUCAGUUCAACUCCAUGCAUACUAACAUCACUAACUGCUCAGGUAUGAUAACUCAUCAAUAACAAGGCAAUUAGGCUCUUUUUAUGAAUUUUAAAGACAAUAAACAGAGACUAAACAACUCAUCUAAUCAUCUUGAACAAUAUAUAUAAUGCAAUACAAGAUCAGGAGGCUCUCCUAGACCUUUAUCAAUGCAACAAGACAAUGACAGUAGCUAACCAAUCGCCUAGCACAAUACAAACAGAAACAAUUAAUCUAGGACAGGAACUAAACAAUACCAUGCUAGACAACUCCUAGAAAUAAUUUAAGAAACAGAGCAACACACACAAUUUAAGUAUCAUGAGACAGAAACUAGGUUCAACAACUCUAGCAACUUGAACCUGUCCCAAGGAUACCAAACACACCACUCAACACAACCAGACAUAACUACUCAAGCUCUUAUUAAAGGUAGGAGGUUAACUUACAAACAAGGAACCUGAGCUGGUUCCUUGAACCUCCAAGGCACACUGUUCACUUGAACUUGACAGAUUUGGAGUUUGGGAUCUCUACCCCACGCCAUUUCCUUGUGUGUGCUUUCCCUUUAGACCACUCAUGCUUAAGACCCCUCCUUUCUUCCUGAUUACCAGGCGCCACCUUCUGGCACACAGUGAGAGACUCCAUUUUGGGAAGAAUUUGAAAAUCACUUGUACAGACUUGGUUUGGAGCAUUGCUUGCCAAACAGCUCCAAAACCUUCUUUCUCCAAGAGAUCUCUUCAGGCUGAACAGGAGAAAGGAUGAUAGACCUUGGGAAGUCUCUGGACACGCCAUGUUUAGUCUUCUUCCUCUUGAAGAGAUUGAACAGCUGGCUGGACAGAAACUCUCCAAUGAUUUGAAAUAACAAUGAGGAUGAGCCUAUGCUUGAAUUGUGGAAGCUUUGAGUUUCAGAUACUAAAGACCUCCUUUAUCUUGAGUUCUGGUGAGUCUCUUCCCUCCUGGAAAAGCUUUAGACCAGAGGAUACAAGGAUGAACAGAAACAGAGAUUUUUGAAGAGAAGUAUGAACUGUAACAGAUUUGCGGAAGCUUUAUGGAUUCUCAGGAGCUUGGAGCUCUGAUACCAUGUAAGAAUAGACAGAUUAUGGUGUGUGAGUGUUGUUUAGAACAGAGAGUGGUCGGAUUGAAAGAGAACAGAGUGAAGACAGUAAGUGAGAAUUAAAGAGACUGCAAUGGAGCAAAAGAGAGAUUAAGUGAGAUUUGAGAGAGUAUGAGAGAGAUUCUUGUAACCAGAGAUUAGGGAGAGUAUAAGAGACUUGAGAAUGGUGAAGAAGAAAGGGGAAACUCCCCCAUUCAGCUUAAUUUCGUAAUGGUUACAAUGGGGUGGCUUUAUAGCCAGAUUACAAGUUGCAAGUGAUUAAACAAUUGUUAAAGUACAGAUUUACUAAACUAAUAUUAUUGUAGGGUUUCUGAUGGAGCCAGGAGGAUGCAGCCAAGGAGAAUCUCGACCAGAGGGAGUAGAGAGUGACAGGAGAGAGAGAUGGGCACAGUCUGGUUGGGUGAAAGUGACAGCAGGUUCAUCUCCUUAUGCACAUGUGACUUUUAUCUUAAUUAAUUCUCCAACUUGCCAGAUCUCUCUCCAACGGUCUCAUACUUAGUUUAAACUUCAAAUAUGCUUCAGAAAGCUCAGCUGGACGAGUUCCCCACUUGCCUUGACUUCCAAGACACUCUAGGUUAGGUUUGGUUACUUGCAAGCCAAAACUGUACGGACAGAUUCAAAUCUGCUUGUUCCGGAUUUGCUUGCUCUUGAAGCUUGGUCUCUUCAUCAACUCCAGCUUCUUACUUCUUCAUUCCAACAGGUCCUAGGAUCUCAUUAAGAGGCAAAGAAUAAUGUCUUGAACUAGUUGAAUAAGAGGUCUGAUGAAACUAGUAUGAACUUGAAUCAGAAACAAAGAGACUUAGAGAGAUUAAGAGAUUAGAGACUAAGAAAGGGGUAGAUUAAGGGAAUCUGAUCAAGAACACACUUUUAUAUUUAUGAAGGAGAUGGGGAAAACCCCCAUACUCUCUUAAGAGAGUUACAAACGCCCAUGAGGGUCUUUAUAUAGGUUUUACACUCUUGCAAACUCAUAAACCUAUAUCUAAUGGAUAGAAAUAACUUAAGAGGAAUGGAUGGUGAGGAUGAGUUGGUCUUGUUGUAAUCUGAGUGAUGUGUGCUGAUUGGAUAAGCUAAGCUGGCUCACUUUAAUUCAAACCAAGGCAAGCUGGCUCCUUGCUUGUGAUUGGCUCUCCUUAGGCUCCUACUAAUCUUCCCAUGCAUCUGUCCAGGUUCAUGGUCGUGGCUCCCUUCUCUUUACAGCAAGAGACAGCCUGUCCAAGACCAGAACUAGCCAAUCACACACAAGGAAGCUCCCAUUGGUUGUUUGCCUCCACAAAGCAUCUUCUUGAUUCCCUUUGACUAGAUUCAAACCUUGGUGCCUUAUCCAUAUACUAUGCACACUCUUCACAUCCUGAAUAGUGACCCAAAUAGUGAAUAGUCAACCUGAAUAGUGACUAGUGAUUCACUAUUCACUUUUACACAAACUUGCCCAAACUUCUCCAAUCUUACUGUGGUAACUUUCCAAAGUUACUGUGGUAACUUUGGAGUUACUGUCUGACCCAAAUCUUCUCCAAAUGGUGUCUAAGUCCCUCCUGGACUUAACCCUAUCUUUGCACACUCAUCAGACCACUUCUGAAGCCUUAAGACUCUCCCAAAGCCUUAACAUACAAUCUCUGAAGAUCUUGCCAUGUCUUUGCACAAGCACCAACUCAACUCAUCACUUUUGCUUCUCCACUUCUUCUCUUCAAGUUAACACUCCCCCUCAAGCUUGACUCUAGCUGAUCCUAAGUCAAGCUUGGAACCUUGAAGAACUUCCUCAUUAAAAACCUCACCAAGGAAAACCCUUUGGGACAAAACCUUGAUGAGGGAAAAAGAGUAAAGUCUCCAAGGCUUAGGGAUUGGCCAGUGAGUCUUUGUGCCUUACCAACAAUGUAAGGGACACAAAGACUCUGGAUCAUGGCCUCUACAAUCAUCCCACGCCUUGUACUCUCCUUACUGCCUAAUCUUGGUCUCUCCCCCUUUCACCUAACCUCUUGUUAGGUUGAAGUGCUCGGACACACCAGAUCAGCCUCUUCUUGGAGAUACAACUUCUCUUACUGAGUCUUGGCUGCUUCUUCUUCUUAUAGAGUCGCCACCUUGUUGCUUGAGCUACAUGAGGAUGCUUCAGACACUCUCCAAUCACCUCAACACUUGAAGCCGCCUUGGACAUUGCUUCUUCAUCCUUCAUCAUACUUCUCAACAGGUUGCUUCCUCUUCUAGAAUAACCACCAAGCUCUCUUGGAUCAUGUAAGCUUCAACACUCCCCCUCAAGCUUGAGACUCUCACAGGAACAAGCUUGAAUGGAUUGCUUCAUGAUCCUCACGCACACACCAUUGCCGCUCCUCUUCUGAUCUUGCCAUCUUCAUGGAAUGCUUGUGGAAGCUUCAGCUAUCUCUCCAAUCACUUCACACUAGAAGCCGCCUUGAUAGAGUUGCCUUCAUCUUCUCACAGCCAAGAGUACUCUGUCUUAGUUUGAGUACUCUCUUGAAUAGACUCGCCACAGCCUAAGCCCGGAUGGCUCCUUCUUCAGAUGCUUGCAAUGGACUUCUUGGAUCGCUUGGAAACUCACUAAACUCCCCUCCUCAAGCUUGGAUUGAGUAUAGGUCCAAGCUUGCAAGUGAGCUUCAGUGACACUUCACACCAGUGGCGCAUCACCACUUCUCUCUCAACUCUCCAUUGCUCCACACAAUGGGCAAAGUCUUCCUCUUUCAACUCGGAUGGAUGGUGAACCAAGAACACCUCUUGUGAACCUGAAACAUCACUCAAACUCCAGCAAAGAUAAGACACAAGUGCAUUGGGUCAACCCUUGAUGCAUCAUCAAGUUUGAACACCAAUGUCUUUAAGCAAUGCAACAGAUUAAACUAGACAUUUUCAAGUUCUAAUCUUUGCAAGCAAACUCUCUAAGCACUAGCAUGAUCCUAACAGAUUCAAUACAAGCUACUUAGGCAAUUUUUAAAGCUUCUUUACUCAGCAUUUAGACAUGAAUCUAAUGCUUCAAUGUAAGACAGCCAUUUGACAGUAUGCACUAACCCUAAUCAGUUUUAAUUCAUGAAUGCAACAAUACAAUUCAUCACACAUUCAUUUAUAACUUAGGCUAAGCAUUACUAUCAUCACUUAACAUCAGACAAUGCAUUACUUUCAAUCUGUUUUCAGUUCAUGAGCUUCAAACAAUAUCAUUUCACAUUUAGCAAACUCAUUACUUAACAGGAGCAAGCAUUUUACUCUUUAAACACUAAACAAGCCUUUAAAGCAUCCUGGGACAGAUUCAACUAAUUAUAUUUAGCAAUCACACAUUAUCCUCAGGGUUUUUCAAUCAAUACACAUCACAAUAACCAGGCACAGUCACAACACAAGCUCAUUAUCAAGAAGGGAAAGUAAUAGCUUACAGCCAAGGAACCGGUUUGGUUCCUUGAACCUCCAAUGGCUUAUGGCUCAUGGUUUUGUUGGACAUGAGAGUAUGGAUCGUCACCCAGCCUCUCCUCCUUCUACUCAUGGCCACCUUCUUGUUUCUACAGCUCAAACACCCCUCCUUUCUUCAUACUUCAAGUCGCCAUCUUCAUGACAAUCUACUCUUCUUGUAGCCGGAUGCAAGCAGCUCAUGGACAAGGAGUUUUGGCCUGAGGUUCAUGACGCCUCUCCAUCCUCCUUUGCUUCCAAGGUGGCUCUUCAUCAAGACAGGUAUGAGAAAGGUUUGAGGAACCAGAAUGACACGCCAAGCUUCAGUCUUCAUGGAGAAGCUGAACCGGAUGGAGCUGUCUUCUUCAUGGCUUGGAUUUGAGCUGAGGUGAGAGCUGUGGAUUUGCGGAAGCUCAGCUCAGGUUCUGAUGAACCUGGCUCUGAUACCAUAUGAGAUUUGAGAGCUCUGGCUGUGUAUGUGUAAGAAAAGCCAUUAAAGGCAAAGAUAAGGUCUUGAACUAGUUGAAUAAGAGGUCUGAUGAAACUAGUAUGAACUUGAAUCAGAAACAAAGAGACUUUGAGAGAUUAAGAGAUUAGAGACUAAGAAAGGGGUAGAUUAAGGGAAUCUGAUCAAGAACACACUUUUAUAAUUAUGAAGGAGAUGGGGAAAACCCCCAUACUCUCUUAAGAGAGUUACAAACGCCCAUGAGGUCUUUAUAUAGGUUUUACACUCUUGCAAACUCAUAAACCUAUAUCUAAUGGAUAGAAAUAACUUAAGAGGAAUGGAUGGUGAGGAUGAGUUGGUCUUGUUGUGAUCUGAGUGAUGUGUGCUGAUUGGUUGAGCUAAGCUGGCUCACUUUAAUUCAAACAAGGCUGUGCUGUGAUUGGCUCUCCUUUGGCUCCUUUGUAUCUGUCUACAGAUCAGUCUAGGUGCAUGGUCGUGGCUGCUCUUCCUUUACAGCAACAGCCAGCCUGUCCAUGCCCCCAAGUAACCAAUCAGCUCCACACAGCAUCUUCUUGAUUCCCUUUGACUAGAUUCAAACCUUGGUGCCUCACAUCCUGAAUAGUGAUCCAAAUAGUGAAUAGUCAACCUGAAUAGUGACUAGUGAUUCACUAUUCACUUUUACACCAACUUGCCCAAACUUCUCCAAUCUUACUGUGGUAACUCUCCAAAGUUACUGUGGUAACUUUGGAGUUACUGUCUGACCCAAAUCUUCUCUAAAUGGUGUCUAAGUCCCUCCUGGACUUAACCCUAUCUUUGCACACUCAUCAGACCACUUCUGAAGCCUUAAGACUCUCCCAAAGCCUUAACAUACAAUCUCUGAAGAUCUUGCCAUGUCUUUGCACAAUCACCAACUCAACUCAUCACUUUUGCUUCUCCACUUCUUCUCUUCAAGUUAACACUCCCCCUCAAGCUUGACUCUAGCUGAUCCUAAGUCAAGCUUGGAACCUUGAAGAACUUCCUCAUUAAAAACCUCACGCUCUCUCCUCAGCUCAAAUCCAAACCAGUGAAGCUCUCUCCAUCCGGUUCAGCCUCUUAUGAAGAAGAAGACUGAAGCUUGGCGAGUUCUCAUGGUUCCUCAUCCUGUUCUCUUCCUGUCCUGAUGGUGGUUCUCAUUGGAAGCAAAGGUGUAUGGACAAGGCCUAGCUAUCCUUGUACCAAGGCGCCUUGUCCAAGAGAAGAUCACAUCCGGUUCCAAAGAAGAUGGUGUCAAGAGCUUGGCGCCUAGUGGAGAUGAAGAAAGGAGGGGUCUUUGAAGCUGAUGGUACAAGAAGGGGGCCAUGAACUGAAGGUGAAGGAGGUGGGUGACGAUCCAUACUCUCAAGACCAGCAAAGCAUGGCCGGUUUCAUGAAAGGUUAAGGAACCAAUCUGGUUCCUUGGGGUAAACGAUUCUUAAAACCUUCUUGAUGAUGAGCAGAUGAUUAUGAUGGGUUGUGUGUUGUGAUGUGAUUGAAAACCUGAGGAUUGUUUAAGGAUUGCUAAAUGAAAAUGAAUUUAGAAUCUAUCCCAGGAUGCUUAAAGAGACUUGUUUGGUGAUUGAGAUUGAUCUUAAAAUGCUUAGCUCCGGUUCAUUGUAGUGCUUGUUGUGAUUGAUUGAAUCUGCUUGCAUACAUGAGUUAACCGACUGAAAGCUAGUGCAUAGUGGCUUGAAGUUACCUUACAUUGAGGCACUAGAUUAAUGUCUAGUAGCUGAGUAAAGGAGCUGUCAAAAAUUGCCUAAGUGUCUUGUAAUGAAUCUGUAGGAUCAUACUAGAACUUAGAGAGCUGAGCUUGCAAUGAUUUGAAACUUGGAUGUCUUGUUUGAUCUUGCAUUGCUCUAGUGAGACAUUGGUGUUCAAGCUUGAUGUGGAAUCAAGGACUGACCCAAUGCACCUAUGUCUAAUCUUCUCUGGAGGUUGAGUGGUGUUUCAGGUGCACAAGGAGUGUUCUUAGUUCUUCACCAAUCCAAGAGAAAGAGGAAGGCAUUGCCCAUUGUCAUGAGCAAUGGAGAGCGGUUACUGAAGUGGUUAUGUACCACUGGUUAGUGAAGACUCACGGCUGCUCACUUCCAAGCUUGGACCCUCAUUCUAUCCAAGCUUGAGGAGGGGAGUUAAGUGAGCAAAGAAGGAAGACCAUGGCAAGCAACUGAUGGAAAAGAAGUCAUCCGGCUGUGGGAAGAACAAGGGAGUGUUCAGAGCACUCUCGGCUGUGUGAAGAUGAUGGAGCUACUCUAUCAAGGCGGCUUCCAGUGUGAGCAGUCUGAAGAGGGAGCUGAAGGUUCCACAAGCAUUCCAUGGAGAUGGCGAGUUCAGAAGGUGCUGCAAGGGUCUGAUGGUGUGAUCAUGAAGCUGCUCUCCCAAGCUUGACUUGUUCCACAUGGUCAAGCUUGAGGGGGAGUGUUGAGAAGACUUCAAAUGAUCACAAAGGUGCCGGUUCAAGAAGGUGGACGGCAGUGAGCAAAUGUGGAGAAUCAAGAAGCUCUCCUUCCAAGCUUGACUUGUUCCACAUGGUCAAGCUUGAGGGGGAGUGUUGAGAAGGCUUCUUGAUGAGAGCACUUGGCGGUUAAUCAAGAAGAGGAGCAGACUGGUUUGUGAAGCAAGAUGGAGGAUGGUGAAGCAAUCACCAAGGCGGCCAAAGCAGAGCAGCCUUGAAACUACAGACUGAACCAUCCGAUCAUAAAGCUUUAGAACUAGGUGGAGACUCUAGAAGAAGAAGCAGCCAAGGCUCCACAAGUUCUUGAUACUCUUGGUGCGAGUAUGAUCUGAUGGUUCCAUAUGAAGCUAGAAGAAGGUCAGACCGUGAGAAGAGUACAAGAUGAAGGGUGAUGAGCAAGAGAAGAUGUGAUCUACCUUGCAUCACAAGAAGGGGCCGAGAUCCAGAGUCUUUGUGUCCCUUACAUUGUUGGUGACACCCUCAGGUAUGGUUGCUCUCCUUGUGUAUGUGGAUGACAUCAUUAUCACUGGGAGUGAUAAGGAAGGUAUCAAAGCGACCAAGGAAUUCCUAAAGUCUAUGUUUGAAAUCAAAGACUUGGGAGAGAUGAAAUACUUCCUUGGAAUUGAGAUUUGUAGAUCUAAGGAAGGAUUGUUCAUUGUUAACUUGAAGAAAAGAAAUGGAGACAAAGGAGAAGUAUGGAGGAGUUUGUGUCUGGUGCAAAGAUAGGGCAAGUCUUAUAGAGAUUGCCUAUCAAGCUUCAGAAGGGAUUUAUGAGCUCCAGAAGUGGUCUAAGGGCUGUGCAAAGAUAGGGACAAGUCCAGGAGGGACUUAGAAGAUGUUGAGGAGCAAAUAGGGCGAGUGUGCAAACUUAGGGCAAGGCUGUACAGCAUGUACGGACCGGUACGACCCGAGAGAGCACAACUCGCCCAUUUGAGAUGUUUUGUGAUUGUGCAAAGUCCGGGCUCAAGUGUGCAAGCUUAGGGCGUGAUCAGAACAUGUCCAGGAGGAGUUGUGCAUAAUUAGGGUGUUGGGAAUGACUCUGGUCGUAUGGAAUCAAAGGAGAAUCAAAGAAGAUGCCUAGGGAGUUUGAAAGGAGAGUGGCGCCAAAGACAGGCUGGAACAGGCUGGCUGUUGGCUGUGUAAAGAAGUAAAGGGGACCAUGUAUCUAGUCUGAUAUGUGGGAAGAUACAAGGGAGCCUUACAGCAGCCAAUCAGGCGCCAGUCUCCACCUUGACCAGAUUCAAAUGGGCCAAUCACACAGCAGCAAGAGCACAGCCAAUGAGAGACAAAGACCAGCUCAACUCUCCAUCUGAUCCAUCCAUUCUUCAAGUCGAUUAUAAACCAUUAGAUUUAGGUUUAUGAGUUUGCAAAGUGUAAAGGCAUAUAUAAGCCUAUCAUUGUCGAAUUGUAAACCCUAAGGGAGUAAGGGGGAUUUCCCCUCUCCACUUCAUGGAAAUGAAAAGUGUUCUUGAAUCAGAUUCUCUUAAUCUCUCCCUUUCUUAGUCUCUAAAUCUCUUAAUCUCUCAAAGUCUCUUGUUUCUGAUUUAAGUAAACACUCUUAUCAAUCUCUCUUUCUAAAUCACCUAGAACAAGCUCUCAUCAUUCUCCAUUGGAGUUUAUACACACACAAACACAACUAGAGAAGAGAACUCUACAAAUCUCACAUGGUAUCAGAGCCAGGUUCAUCAGAACCUGAGCUGAAGCUUCCGCAAACACACUGCUCUUGUUGAAGCUUACAUGAUCCAAGAGAGCUUGGUAGUUAUUCUAGAAGAGGAAGCAACCUGUUGAGAAGUAUGAUGAAGGAUGAAGAAGCAAUGUCCAAGGCGGCGUCAAGUGUUGAGGUGAUUGGAGAGUGGCUGAAGCAUCCUCAUGUAGCUCCAGGUGAGUCAACACAUGCAGCUUCCAAAGGAACAUCAUUGGCGCAUGGUAGAGAGGCUGCUGAUGUAUCUGAAUGGCUCGCCGGAUCAAGGGGUUUGGAUGGGAUGUAAUGGAAGCACAGAAGUGGUGGGGUAUUGUGAUGCUGAUUGGGCAGGAGAUAGAGCUGAUAGGAGAUCAACUACCGGCUAUUGCACAUUCAUUGGAGGUAACUUGGUGACUUGGAAGAGCAAGAAGCAGAAGGUGGUGUCAUGUUCAAGUGCAGAAGCUGAGUAUAGAGCCAUGCUGAAGCUNNNNNNNNNNNNNNNNNNNNNNNNNNNNNNNNNNNNNNNNNNNNNNNNNNNNNNNNNNNNNNNNNNNNNNNNNNNNNNNNNNNNNNNNNNNNNNNNNNNNNNNNNNNNNNNNNNNNNNNNNNNNNNNNNNNNNNNNNNNNNNNNNNNNNNNNNNNNNNNNNNNNNNNNNNNNNNNNNNNNNNNNNNNNNNNNNNNNNNNNNNNNNNNNNNNNNNNNNNNNNNNNNNNNNNNNNNNNNNNNNNNNNNNNNNNNNNNNNNNNNNNNNNNNNNNNNNNNNNNNNNNNNNNNNNNNNNNNNNNNNNNNNNNNNNNNNNNNNNNNNNNNNNNNNNNNNNNNNNNNNNNNNAGUAGAAGACUGAAGCUGGCGUGGCUCUUAUCCUUUCUCCUGUCCAUACUGAUGGAGAGACUCAUUGGAAGCAGAGGUGUAUGGAGAGGCCUCGCGAACCUCAUCCAAGGUGCCUUGUCCAAGAGCUUUCCCAUCCGGUUCAUCAAGAAAGCUGCCAAGAAGAGAAGGAGAAAGGAGGGGUCUUUGAGUUAGAGAAACAAGGAGGAAGUCAUGAACUGAAGGAGCAGGAGAUGGGUAACGAUCCAGACUCACAUAUCCUCAAGGUCAUGAGCUUACCAUCCGAGAGUGAUACAAGGACCAACCUGGUUCCUUGGUAGUAAGCGAUUCUUUAAACCUUAAGUGGUAAUGAGCUUGUGAUAAACUCUGGUUGUUGUGUUGUGAUGUGAUUGAAAACCUGAGGAUUGUUUAAGGAUUGCUAAAUGAAAUGAAAUGAAUUUAGAAUCUAUCCCAGGAUGCUUAAAGAGACUUGUUUGGUGAUUGAGAUUGAUUUAAUAUGCUUAGCUCCAGUUCAUAGUGAUGCUUGUUGUGAUUAAUUGAAUCUGCUUGCAUACAUGUAAUGAAUCUGAUUGAAAGCUGUUGCAUAUAGUCUUGUGGCUGUCUUACAUUGAAGCAUUAGAUUCAUGUCUAAAUUGCUGAGUAAAGAAGCUUUAAAAAUGCCUAAGUAGCUUGUAUUGAAUCUGUUAGGAUCAUGCUAGUGCUUAGAGAGUUUGCUUGCAAAGAUUAGAACUUGAAAAUGACUUGUUUAAUCUGUUGCAAUGCUUGUGAUAUUGGGAAUCAAACUUGAUGAUUAAUCAAGGAGUGAUCCCAAUACUAUUGUGUCUCAUCUUUGCUGGAGUUUGAGUGAUGUUUCAGGUUCACAAGAUGUGUUCUUCGUUCACCAUCCAUCCGAGUUGAAAGUAGGAGACGUUUGCCCAUUGUGUGUGCAAUGGAGAGUGGAUACAAGAGUGGUGAUGCGCCACUGGUGUGUAGUCUCACUGAAGCUCACUUGCAAGCUUGGACCUAUACUCAAUCCAAGCUUGAGGAGGGGAGUUUAGUGAGCUAUCAGUGGGUUCAAAAGGUCCAUUGCAAGCAACUGAAGAAGAAGGAGCCAUCCGGGUCUAGGCAGUGGCGUGUCUAGGCAAGAGAGUGUUCAGAGCACUCUUGGCUGUGAGAAGAUGGAGACUCUAUCAGUGCGGCUUCUAGUGUAAGGUGGCUGAAGAGGUAGCUGAAGCUUCCACAAGCAAUCCAUGAAGAUGGCGAGUUCAGAAGGUGUUGCAAUGGAGUAAUGGUACAGAUCAUGAAGCUAUCCAUCCAAGCUUGUUCCUAUGAGAGUCUCAAGCUUGUGGGGGAGUGUUGAAGCUUACAUGAUCUGAGAGUACUUGGUGGUUAUUCAAGAAGAGGAGCAGAUCAGUUAUGAAGCAGAAUGAAGGAUGAAGAAGCAAUCACCAAUGCGGCCUCUAGAGUGAGGUGAUUGGUACUACAGUCUGAAGCAUCCUGUCAUGAAGGUUUCAGUAACAUGGUGGUGACUCAUGAAGAAGAAGCAUCCAAGACUCAGCUUGUAUCUAUCAAGGAAGAUCAACCAGUCCGAGCACUUGAUACACAACAAGAAGGUUGUGAGAAAGGGGGAGAGACCAAGAUCUGUCUGAAGAAGAGUACAAGAAGUGUUGAUGAUGAGCAAGAGGAGUGGGUUCUAUCUUGCAUCACAUGAGGGCCAUGAUCCAGAGUCUUUGUGUUCCUUACAUUGCUGGUAAGGCACAAAGACUCACUGGCCAAUCCCUAGGCCUUGGAGGCUUUACUCUUUUUCCCUCAUCAAGGUUUUGUCCCAAAGGGUUUUCCUUGGUGAGGUUUUUAAUGAGGAAGUUCUUCAAGGUUCCAAGCUUGACUUAGGAUCAGCUAAAGUCAAGCUUGAGGGGGAAUGUUAACUUGAAGAAAGGAAUGGAGGAGCUAGAGGUGUUGAGUUGAGAUGGAUCUUGUACAAAGAUAGGGCAAGAGCGUUAGAGAUUGCCUAUCAAGAGUGAUGAGGAGUCUAAAGGUGUCCAGAAGUGAUCUGAUGGAGGUUCUAAGCAAGGUCAAAGUCUAGGAGAGACUUAGAAGAGUGUUGAGGAGCAAAUGGGCGAGUGUGCAAAGAUAGGGCGAAUCUGUACGGCCAUGUACGGAUCUGUACGGACCGGUACGACCCGAGAGAUCACAACUCGCCCAUUUGAGAUGUUUUGAGAUUGUGCAAAGUCCGGGACAAGAUGUGCAAGCUUAGGGCGUGAUCAGAACAUGUCAAGGAGGCUUUGUGCAAUCUUAGGGUGUUGGGAGAAGGCCCUGGUCGUUUGGAAUCAAGAAGGCAUCAAGAAGAUGCUUUGUGGAGGCAAACAACCAAUGGGAGCUUCCUUGUGUGUGAUUGGCUAGUUCUGGUCUUGGACAGGCUGUCUCUUGCUGUAAAGAGAAGGGAGCCACGACCAUGAACCUGGACAGAUGCAUGGGAAGAUUAGGAGGAGCCUAACUCUUUAAUCUUUUCAUCUGAUUAUCCCUGAUUGGUUGAAUCAUGCUCUAAUACACAAAAGUGUAUAAGGAGAGCCAAUCACAAGCAAGGAGCCAGCUUGCCUUGGUUUGAAUUAAAGUGAACAGCCAACCUUAUCCUCACAACUCUUCAGAUAUUACAAGAAGACCAUCUCAUCUACACCAUCCAUUCACUCAAGUUAAUAUUAUCCAUUAGAUUUAGGUUUCAGAUUGUGUAAACCUAUGGAGCUUAUAAAUAAGCAUGUAUAUGGCGAUUUGGAGCCUUAAGGGAGUAAGGGGGAUUUCCCCUCUCCACUUCUUGGAAAUAAGAAAAUGUGUUCUUGAAUCAGAUUCCCUUAAACUACCCCUUUCUUAGUCUCUAAUCUUCUAAUCUCUCAAAGUCUCUUGUUUCUGAUUUAAGUAAACACUCUCAUCAAUCUCUCUUUCUAAAUCACCUAGAGCAAGCUCUCAUCUUUCUCCAUUGGAGUUUAUACACACACAAACACAACCAGAGAAGAGAACUCUACAAAUCUCACAAUAGAUACACACACAAACACAACCAGAGAAGAGAACUCUACAAAUCUCACAUGGUAUCAGAGCCAGGUUCAUCAGAACCUGAGCUGUAGCUUCCGCAAAUCACUUGCUCUCACCUCAGCUCAAAUCCAACCCUUGAAGCCUUUCACAUUCGAGUUCAGUUUCUCCAUGGAGUAGAAGACUGAAGCUGGCGUGGCUCUUAUCCUUUCUCCUGUCCAUACUGAUGGAGAGACUCAUUGGAAGCAGAGGUGUAUGGAGAGGCCUCGCGAACCUCAUCCAAGGUGCCUUGUCCAAGAGCUUUCCCAUCCGGUUCAUCAAGCAAGCUACCAAGAAGGAGAAAGGAGGGGUCUUUGAGUUAGAGAAACAAGGAGGAAGUCAUGAACUGAAGGAGCAGGAGAUGGGUAACGAUCCAGACUCACAUAUCCUCAAAGUCAUGAGCUUACCAUCCGAGAGUGAUACAAGGACCAACCUGGUUCCUUGGUAGUAAGCGAUUCUUUAAACCUUAAGUGAUAAUGAGCUUGUGAUAAACUCUGGUUGUUGUGUUGUGAUGUGAUUGAAAACCUGAGGAUUGUUUAAGGAUUGCUAAAUGAAAUGAAAUGAAUUUAGAAUCUAUCCCAGGAUGCUUAAAGAGACUUGUUUGGUGAUUGAGAUUGAUUUAAUAUGCUUAGCUCCAGUUCAUAGUGAUGCUUGUUGUGAUUAAUUGAAUCUGCUUGCAUACAUGUAAUGAAUCUGAUUGAAAGCUGUUGCAUAUAGUCUUGUGGCUGUCUUACAUUGAAGCAUUAGAUUCAUGUCUAAAUUGCUGAGUAAAGAAGCUUUAAAAAUGCCUAAGUAGCUUGUAUUGAAUCUGUUAGGAUCAUGCUAGUGCUUAGAGAGUUUGCUUGCAAAGAUUAGAACUUGAAAAUGACUUGUUUAAUCUGUUGCAAUGCUUGUGAUAUUGGGAAUCAAACUUGAUGAUUAAUCAAGGAGUGAUCCCAAUACUAUUGUGUCUCAUCUUUGCUGGAGUUUGAGUGAUGUUUCAGGUUCACAAGAUGUGUUCUUCGUUCACCAUCCAUCCGAGUUGAAAGUAGGAGACGUUUGCCCAUUGUGUGUGCAAUGGAGAGUGGAUACAAGAGUGGUGAUGCGCCACUGGUGUGUAGUCUCACUGAAGCUCACUUGCAAGCUUGGACCUAUACUCAAUCCAAGCUUGAGGAGGGGAGUUUAGUGAGCUAUCAGUGGGUUCAAAAGGUCCAUUGCAAGCAACUGAAGAAGAAGGAGCCAUCCGGGUCUAGGCAGUGGCGUGUCUAGGCAAGAGAGUGUUCAGAGCACUCUUGGCUGUGAGAAGAUGGAGACUCUAUCAGUGCGGCUUCUAGUGUAAGGUGGCUGAAGAGGUAGCUGAAGCUUCCACAAGCAAUCCAUGAAGAUGGCGAGUUCAGAAGGUGUUGCAAUGGAGUAAUGGUACAGAUCAUGAAGCUAUCCAUCCAAGCUUGUUCCUAUGAGAGUCUCAAGCUUGUGGGGGAGUGUUGAAGCUUACAUGAUCUGAGAGUACUUGGUGGUUAUUCAAGAAGAGGAGCAGAUCAGUUAUGAAGCAGAAUGAAGGAUGAAGAAGCAAAAGCACACAGAGGAUCAGCCGACUUGUAGAACCCAUAACUCUUUCAUCGGAGAAGCUUUGGACAUGAUUCCAAUUCGACGUGAGACCCUGAUGAGUUAAGUUUCCAUGGCAGUCGAUUUUGCUGAUUAAUUCCUUGUGGUGAUUGAGAUAUGAUCCUCGGACUGCUCCUAUGUCGAGACUGGCUGCUAGACAGCUUCCAAGGUUUGCUUGUUGUGUCUCCAACUUAGCCAAGGACUUAUCAUUGAUACUCUGAUAACUAUAGGCCCUCUUUUCGAAAAGUGUAGAGCUCGACACAGUUUGACCUGUUCGAACAGCAAGCAAAUCAGGUUUCAUAUUUUUCUUUGAGUUUAGAUAGAUACCUCGGGUUGGUUGCUUUGGAGUUUGUUGUAAGCUAUGUUGAUCUGGUGGUUUCUCUUUGAUUUGAGAAGAAAACAUGAGUUCUUCUCCUGAUCCAGUAAUCACUUCACCAUUUUCUCCAGUGAAUCCUCCAUCUCCACUCAUGGUUUGGUAGUCUUUGUAAUGGUGCUGAAGCUGCUGCAUAUCAGGUGGUUUCCAUAUCUUGACAUGGCCGAGAAGCAAGGAGUUUUGAUCAGCUUUCAACUCAUUAUUACCCAAGAUGAUUCUAGAACGGACAGAGUGCUCUCCAAGGAAGAUAAAUAUGCUGACAUACGCUCCAGGUCUCCACAAGUAGGUCUGUAAACUUCCAACCCAAUCAGACAUAGACAUCCCCCGGAAUGAAUCCAAACCAAUAUGUUUUGCCAAUCUAGUAAUAUCUUGAUGAUCAGGUGGCCAUUUGCUGCGCUUUCUGGUUUGCUGGAUCCAGGACAGAGUGGGUAACCUUUUCCAAUUGGUUUCGUAGUGAAACUCCUGUUGAGCUGAGACGUGCAACACCUUAUCUUCAGAGGUUGAGAAAUUAACAAAAUCAAAUGUUGCUGCAGCUGAUUCCUUUUCAAUUAGUUGGUUCUUGUUCCUGAGAUUACACAGCUUUCCUCCAGGCUCAAAUACAACAUGCUUCAUGCCUAUUUCGUGUCUUGAAAGCUCCACUGCUCUGGUCUUGUUCCACACAAAAGGACUGAUGAGAAAAGUACCCAAGAAUGUCCUUUGGAAACCGUUUGAAUCAGUGACAAGUAGAUGCUCUACUCCACUGUCUGAUUUUGAUUCCUUGGGUGCCUCCUCUUCUAUUACAUCCUGUUUGAAGAGAAUCAGGUCGUCCUUGAUGGGUUGAUCAUCUUUCUGAAUGGUGAUUGUUGGAAUCUUGGUUUGAUCUUCUUGAACUAGUGCAGCCAAGUCUGAUUGUGCAACUGAGUCUGGUUCUGCAUCUUUGAGUUCUGAGACAGUUGAGGAAAGCGCUUGGUUCUGUACUUCUAAGGAUGGAGAUAUAGUCUUGGACUGUUUAAAUUGUUUCUCCACAUCCCUAAACGCUUGUGAAAUUGCCUUCCUUAUGCUAUCUUCAAAGGAAUGGGUUGAUGUUUUGCUUGAUGAAACCAGGUUACUAGAUGGACUUGAUCUCUUGCUGUCUCGUUGUUUCUGAACUGAUAAUGAAGAACAUAGCUUUGUCUCAGGCUGCUUUUGAAUAACUUCCUUGUGGUACUGUCUUGGAACGUACUCUAUACGCAUCAAAGCCCUCAGCUUAAGCCAUGUCUCCACUGGUUCUUUUCCAUCAAGUCUUCUGCACUUUAUCAACUGAUUCCACCAUCUUAAAGCAUGACCACAAAACUCAGCAGUAGCCAUUUGAAUCUUCUUUCUUUCAGCAUAGUGUUGACUACUGAAAAUCAACUCAAUCUUCUUUUCCCACUUCACAUAAGCUUCAGGAUCAGCCUUGCCAUGAAAAGAAGGAAUUUGAUAUUUCAAUCCAGCAUGCUUCCGGUUUCUGUCCAUCUGAUCAAACUCCUUUUUCUUGUACUCAUCUCUGGAUGAUCUGCCUUUCCUUUGCUGCUGUAUGUCUUGACUGAAUUUUCUCAAUUGAUCUUUGCAGGCUUUAUCCAUACUGGCUGUGAAUUCUUCAAGAAAAAGCUUUUCUUUCUUGCUGAGUUCUCCUUUUUGAUCUCCUGCCAUGGUACCUGAGACAAGAGAAAGACUAAGCCAGUAAAUAGUUCUACAGAGAAAACAAACAACCAAUUUGCAAAAUCAGAGAUUCAAAUUGAAGCUUAAAACUUUAGACAAUUCUCAGAACAAAUUCAAACUCAACCAAUGAUUUAAAAGAGAUCAAAACUAAUCAGAACAGAAUUGAUAAAUCUUAAGCCUAUCAGAUCAGUUUGAUUUCGAAACUAGAACACAAAAAAUGGAGAGAUAGAUUUUGAUUUCAAAUUCAAGCGCAGAUUUUGUUUUCAAAGAAAAAAAAUCAAAACGAAAUCAAUCAAACUUGCACUACACGGAUCAGGUUUCAAGAGAUCAAACAACACACGAUCAGAGAUGAUAUGAUAACAGAUGAUGAGAUUUAGAUCAAGUAAGAACAGAUCUAAAACAAUAGGAACAGAUCGGAAUCACACAAACAGAUUUAGAUCAAAGCAAUCGGAUAACCUGAUCAACAAGGAUCCGAACAGUCUAAUACCCAAAACAAGAUCUAAUCAACCCUAAUUCGACAGAUUCUUACACAAGAAACACAGAUCAACACGAAAUCAAAGAGUAUAUGAAGAGACUUCAACAGAUUCGUGAUCAAAACACUCAGAUCUAACAGAUUUAAACAAUAGAAACACAGAUCGAUCAAAAUCACAACAGAAUAUUAAGAGAUCAAAUCGACAACAGAUAGAAAUCAAAACACUUCCCUUCCAGAGUUGCUCUGAUACCACAUAAUGAGAUCCUAGGAUGAUGCUCUGGAACAGAUGGGAUAAUCCUUGCAGAAACGAAUCACAAGACUCAAGCUUCUCAAGGUAUGUGAAUCGAAUGGUGACACAAGAGGCUGCGGAAAGGCUUCUUGAUACUCCUAGGCUUAGAUCGGAUAUGACACACCUCUCUAAAGCCCUUGGGCGUUGGAUAUUACACACCAACAGACUGGAUAUUACACACCAGACACACUUCAACUCGCCAAAGACAAGAGAGAAGAGAGAAAAGGGUUUUUGAUAAAAGAUUGCUUUUUAUGAUAAAGGGGGGUCACGACCAGAAUAUAAAGAGAGGCCCUUGUACAUGCACAAGGUCUCGAAAAUAGAAAUAAAAAUAAAGGGAACAGGCUCCCUUGGAAACUAAACAAAGACCAAGUUUUCGAAAUUAUUCAAAACAUAAAACAUAUGAUAAAAAUAACAUAAGAUAGAUAAUGUGGUUGGUCCGGGAUCAUCAUCUAGGAGAUGUGAAAGUAAACUUGUGGCCUCGUUAAAAACCUUCCUUUGGAAAACCCAGUGGGACAAAACCAAAGGUUAGGAAAAGAGCACACACAAGCUACUUGCCUAGAUGAUGAUUAGCUUGAAGGUGGAGUAGCUUGAAUUGUGGUGAGUGUGUCUUGGUUGAUCAACCUGCAACCAAGACAAUCUUCUUGCUUCCUUGACAUCUUGAGUAUUUCUCCAUCAGCUUCAUUGAGUUUCUUUGAUCUGGAACAAGUGUUGGGACCUUCAGGAAUGGCUAGGGCAUCUUCAUCUACAAGCUGGUCCAUGAUCACAUCAUCUUUGGGUGUUUGUGUUUUGUGAUGGUGCCUGGAGAGAUAAGAAACAAGCUAGAAGCUAAGAGUUCAAAGGCAAUGUUCAUUGGAUACUCAUCAAGUCAGAAAGGAUACAAGUGCUAUGAUCCUAACACAAGGAGAGUGUUAGUAUCUAGAGAAGUGAAGUUUGUUGAAGAGAAAGGAUAUUAUGAGGAACAGAUUCAAGAAGACUUGAAGGAUCUUACCUCUGAUAGAGCUGAAACCUUGAGGAUUAUCCUAGAAGGCCUUGGAAUCAACAUGAAUCAAGGACAUCAAGGGGGGCGAAGCACUACCCCAGUCCCGGAUCAUCAGACUUCCAACCUUGAGCAUGAGGGGGGGAAUGAAACAAGAACUCCAAACCGUGAAGAAACAAGUAGAGAAGAGAGUUCUGGCUCUCAUGAUCAAGCUGUGGAAUCAGAUGAUCAAGAAGAAGGAGCUGAAGAGAGUCAGCUAAGGGAAGAAGGAGCUGAAGCAAGUCAGCUAGGAGAAGAAAGAUCUGAAACAAGUGUGCUGCCACAAGAAGAACAAGAGAUGGCGCAAGAAGGGCCAGUAUUGAGAAGAAGUACAAGGCUGAGAAAGGAUCCUUCCAGUUGGGUAAACACAAGAGUGUACUACAAUGCCCAAGCUGUGAAGCAUCCUACUCAGGCCGUGUGUUCUUUUGCUCAAUAUCCAGAAGCACAUUGCGCAUUCAUGGUAAACUUGGAUGAGAAUCACAUUCCAAGAAGCUAUGAAGAGGCAAUGUAGGAUAAGGAAUGGAAGGAAUCAGUAGGAGCCGAGGCAGGAGCUAUGAUAAAGAAUGAUACAUGGUAUGAGAGUGAACUACCAAAAGGGAAGAAAGCUGUGUCUAGUAGAUGGAUCUUUACAAUCAAGUACAAGGCUGAUGGGUCGAUUGAGAGGAAGAAGACUAGACUAGUAGCAAGAGGGUUCACUCAGACAUAUGGAGAGGAUUACAUUGAAACAUUUGCACCAGUGGCCAAGCUACACACCAUUAGGAUUGUUUUAAGCUUGGCUGUGAACCUUGGAUGGGGAUUGUGGCAAAUGGAUGUAAAGAACGCAUUUCUACAAGGAGAACUUGAGGAUGAAGUCUAUAUGUAUCCUCCAUCAGGCCUGGAACAUUUAGUAAAGAGAGGGAAUGUACUGAGGUUGAAGAAAGCUAUUUAUGGGUUGAAGCAAUCACCAAGAGCUUGGUAUAACAAGUUGAGCACAACCUUAAACGGCCGAGGCUUCAAGAAGUCAGAGUUGGAUCACACUCUGUUUACACUCACGACACCCUCAGGUAUGGUUGCUCUCCUUGUGUAUGUGGAUGAUAUCAUUAUCACAGGAAGUGAUAAGGAAGGUAUCAAAGCAACCAAGGAGUUUCUAAAGACUAUGUUUGAAAUCAAAGACUUGGGAGAAAUGAAAUACUUCCUUGGAAUUGAGAUUUGUAGAUCCAAGGAAGGUUUGUUCAUGUCCCAAAGAAAGUAUACACUUGAUCUUUUGAAAGAUGCAGGUGCUUAUGGAGGCAAGACAGCAAGGAUGCCAAUGGAGGAUGGCUACAAAGUACCAAGAGAGGGGGAGAUUGAAGACAGCAAGCCAUUUCAUGAUCCUAAACUCUAUAGAAAACUUGUUGGCAAAUUGAUUUAUCUUACCAUCACAAGACCUGAUAUAUGCUUUGCUGUGAAUCAGGUGAGUCAACACAUGCAGCUUCCCAAGGAACAUCAUUGGCGUAUGGUGGAGAGGCUGCUGAUGUAUCUAAAUGGCUCGCCGGAUCAAGGGGUUUGGAUGGGAUGCAAUGGAAGCUCAGAAGUGGUGGGCUAUUGUGAUGCUGAUUGGGCAGGAGAUAGAGCUGAUAAGAGAUCAACUACCGGCUAUUGCACUUUCAUUGGAGGCAACUUGGUGACUUGGAAAAGCAAGAAGCAGAAGGUGGUGUCAUGUUCAAGUGCUGAAGCUGAGUAUAGAGCCAUGCUGAAGCUGACAAACGAGUUUGUGUGGAUCAAAGGCAUCUUGAAGCACUUGGAGAUUGAUCAAGCCACUCCAAUGACAAUGCAUUGUGACAACCAAGCUGCCAUUCACAUUGCAUCCAACUCGGUGUUCCAUGAGAGAACCAAGCACAUUGAGGUUGAUUGCCACAAGGUGAGACAGAUGAUUGUGCUUGGAGUGAUCUUACCUUGCUAUACGAGAAGUGAAGAUCAGUUGGCUGAUGUGUUCACCAAGGCGGCAAGACAAAAGACUAUGGAGUCCAUUCACAUUAGAUUGGGACUCAUAGAUCUUGGGAAGAGAAGGAGCUGAUCCCCUUAGCUGUGAGAUCUUUACUCUUUUUCCCUCAUUAAGGUUUUAUCCCAAUGGGUUUUCCUUAGUGAGGUUUUUAAUGAGGAAGAUCUCAUGGCUGUCCAAGCUUAGGCUUUCACAAAGCUAAGCUUGAGGGGGAGUGUUGAGAAGAGUGCACUAUAAUAUGAAGAAGAAGAAGUCCAAGAGGGUGUAGAAGUGUUGAGGAGUUAAUAAGCAAGUAAGAGAAGGAGCAUGUACGGACAGACAGUACGGAUAGGGAGAGCAGUACGGACGCAGGCCGUACCAACGACCAUCCGCAAGAAGUAACUCGGCCAAGGUGAAAUGUAAACAGGCUGGAGUUACUUUACCUUACUUACCGUGAACCUGAAGUUGAGCUGAACAUUAGAAGGAUAAGGGAGGCGCGUCUGACAGCCUGUCAUAGGCUGAAAAGGUAAAGGCAUAUUCAAAGAUGCCUUACACAUGUGGAGACUCUCAUUGGAAGGAUUCAAAAGAGCUCUUAGCUGGUUAUUGACCUCACAUGCUUUCUACUUUAUGUAAUCGAAACCCUAGUGUCUUAAGCUUCCUAUAUAAGUGUAAACUCUCUCAUUAUUAAUGUUAAGCAAGUUAUGAGUCUCUCUUAGUCUCUCUCUAGUUCGUUCUUAGACUCUUAAUCUCAUUUUAUACUUUAAUCUUCUCUAAAUCUCUUCUAAUCUUUCCUAAAUACUCAGAUCACUCUAAACAUCACUAAAAGUGAUAUCUAUGAGAUUUAUUCAACUUCCUAAUGGUUCUCCACUACUUUAUGAAUCCAAUUCAAGCUUCUUACAUCACGAUUCAUCCUGGUUUGAUUAGAAUGACAAAGAAGUUGUCAUAUUCCCUAACAGGAAAACUGGGAUCACCUGAUUUUGAAAGUGGGAUAGGUUCUUCAUCCUAACUCCUAUGAGAUUUAUUCAACUUCCUAGUGAUUCUCCAUUACUUUAUGUGUCAAAAUCAAGCUUCUUACAUCGUGAUUCAUCUUGGUUUGAUUAGAAUGACAAGGAAGCUGUCAUAUUCCCAAACAGGAAAACUGGGAUCACCUGAUUUGAAAGUGGGAUAGCUUCUUCAUCCCAACUCCUAUGAGAUUUAUUCAACUUCCUAGUGAUUCUCCAUUACUUUAUGUAUCCAAAUCAAACUUCUUACAUCGCGAUUCAUCCUGGUUUGAUUAGAAUGACAAAGAAGCUGUCAUAUUCCCAAACAGGAAAACUGGGAUCACCUGAUUUGAAAGUGGGAUAGCUUCUUCAUCCUAACUCCUAUGAGAUUUAUUCAACUUCCUAGUGAUUCUCCAUUACUUUAUGUAUCAAAAUCAAGCUUCUUACAUCGCGAUUCAUCCUGGUUCGAUUAGAAUGACAAGGAAGCUGUUAUAUUCCCAAACAGGAAAACUGGGAUCACAUGAUUUGAAAGUGGGAUAGCUUCUUCAUCCUAACUCCUAUGAGAUUUAUUCAACUUCCUAGUGAUUCUCCAUUACUUUAUGUAUCAAAAUCAAGCUUCUUACAUCACGAUUCAUCCUGGUUUGAUUUGAAUAACAAGGAAGCUGUCAUAUUCCCAAACAGGAAAACUGGGAUCACCUGAUUUGAAAGUGGGAUAGCUUCUUCAUCCUAACUCCUAUGAGAUUUAUUCAACUUCCUAAUGGUUCUCCACUACUUUAUGUAUCCAUUUAAAGCUUCUUACAUCACGAUUCAUCCUGGUUUGAUUAGAAUGACAAAGAAGCUGUCAUAUUCCCAAACAGAAAAACUGGGAUCACCUGAUUUGAAAGUGGGAUAGCUUCUUCAUCCUAACUCCUAUGAGAUUUAUUCAACUUCCUAAUGGUUCUCCACUACUUUAUGUAUCAAAAUCAAGCUUCUUACAUCAAGAUUCAUCCUUGUUUGAUUAGAAUGACAAAGAAGCUAUCAUAUUCCCAAACAGGAAAACUGGGAUCACCUGAUUUGAAAGUGGGAUUGCUUCUUCAUCCUAACUCCUAUGAGAUUUAUUCAACUUCCUAGUGAUUCUCGAUUACUUUAUAUAUCAAAAUCUAGCUUCUUACAUCGCGAUUCAUCCUGGUUUGAUUAGAAUGACAAAGAAGAUGUUAUAUUCCCAAACAGGAAAAACUGGGAUCACCUGAUUUGAAAGUGGGAUAGCUUCUUCAUCAUAACUCCUAUGAGAUUUAUUCAACUUCCUAGUGAUUCUCCAUUACUUUAUAUAUCAAAAUCAAGCUUCUUAGAUCGCGGUUCAUCCUGGUUUGAUUAGAAUGACAAAGAAGCUGUCAUAUUCCCAAACAGGAAAAACUGGCAUCACUUGAUUUGAAAGUGGGACAGCUUCUUCAUCAUAACUCCUAUGCGAUUUAUUCAACUUCCUAGUUAUUCUCUAUUACUUUAUGUAUCAAAAUCAAGCUUCUUAGAUCGCGAUUCAUCCUGGUUUGAUUAGAAUGAAAAGGAGCUGUCAUAUUCCCAAACAGGAAAACUAGCAUCACUUGAUUUGAAAGUGGGAUAGCUUUUUCAUCCUAACUCCUAUGAGAUUUAUUCAACUUCCUAGUGAAUCUCCAUUACUUUAUGUAUCAAAAUCAAGCUUCUUACAUCGCGAUUCAUCCUCGUUUGAUUAGAAUAACAAGGAAGCUGUCAUAUUCCCAAACAGGAAAACCGGGAUCACCUGAUUUGAAAGUGGGAUAGCUUCUUCAUCGUAACUUUUAUGUGAUUUAUUCAACUUCCUAGUGAUUCUCCAUUACUUUAUGUACAAAAUCAAGCUUCUUACGUCACGAUUCAUCCUGGUCUGAUUAGAAUGACAAAGAAGCUGUCAUAUUCCCAAACAGGAAAAUUGGGAUCACCUGAUCUGAAAGUGGGACAGCUUCUUCAUCCUAACUCCUAUGAGAUUUAUUCAACUUCAUAGUGAUUCUCCAUUACUUUAUGUAUCAAAAUCAAGAUUCUUACAUCGCGAUUCAUCCUGGUUCUAUUAGAAUGACACAGGAAGUUGUUAUAUUCCCAAACAGGAAAACUGGGAUCACCUGAUUUGAAAGUGGGAUAGCUUCUUCAUCCUAAUUCCUAUGAGAUUUAUUCAACUUCCAAGUGAUUCUCCAUUACUUUAUGUAUCAAAAUCAAGCUUCUUACAUCGCGAUUCAUCCUGGUUUGAUUAGAAUGACAAAGAAGCUGUCAUAUUCCCAAACAGGAAAACUGGGAUCACCUGAUUUGAAAGUGGGAUAGCUUCUUCAUCCUAACUCCUAUGAGAUUUAUUGAACUUCCUAGUGAUUCUCCAUUACUUUAUAUAUCAAAAUCAAGCUUCUUACAUCGCGAUUCAUCCUGGUUCUAUUAGAAUGACAAGGAAACUGUUAUAUUCCGAAACAGGAAAACUGGGAUCACCUGAUUUGAAAGUGGGAUAGCUUCUUCAUCCUAACUCCUAUGAGAUUUAUUCAACUUCCUAAUGGUUCUCCACUACUUUAUAUAUCAAAAUCAAGCUUCUUACAUCGCAAUUCAUCCUGGUUCUAUUAGAAUGACAAAGAAGCUGUCAUAUUCCCAAACAGGAAAAGUGGGAUCACCUGAUUUGAAAAUUGGAUAGCUUCUUCAUCCUAACUCCUAUGAGAUUUAUUCAACUUCCUAGUGAUUCUCCAUUACUUUAUGUAUCAAAAUCAAGAUUCUUACAUCGCGAUUCAUCCUGGUUCUAUUAGAAUGAAAGAUUCUUACAUCUCGAUUCAUUCUGGUUUGAUUAGAAUGACAAAGAAGCUGUCAUAUUCCCAAACAAAAAAUUUGGGAUCACCUGAUUUGAAAGUGGGACAGCUUCUUCAUCCUAACUCCUAUGAGAUUUAUUCAACUUCCUAGUGAUUCUCCAUUACUUUAUGUAUCAAAAUCAAGAUUCUUACAUCGCGAUCCAUUCUGGUUCUAUUAGAAUUACAAGGAAGCUGUUAUAUUCCCAAACAGGAAAACUGAGAUCACCUGAUUUGAAAGUGGGAUAGCUUCUUCAUCCUAACUAUUAUGAGAUUUAUUCAACUUCCUAGUCAUUCUCCAUUACUUUAUGUAUCAAAAUCAAGCUUCUUACAUCGCGAUUCAUCCUGGUUCUAUUAGAAUGACAAGGAAGCUGUUAUAUUCCCAAAUAGGAAAACUGAGAUCACCUGAUUUGAAAGUGGGAUAGCUUCUUCAUCCUAACUCCUAUGAGAUUUAUUCAACUUCCUAGUGAUUCACCAUUACUUUAUGUACCAAAAUUAAGCUUCUUACAUUGCGAUUCAUCCUGGUUUGAUUAGAAUGACAAAGAAGCUGUCAUAUUCCCAAACAGGAAAAUUGGGAUCACCUGAUUUGAAAGUGGGACAGCUUCUUCAUCCUAACUCCUUUUAGAUUUAUUCAACUUCCCAGUGAUCCUCCAUUACUUUAUGUAUAAAAAUCAAGCUUCUUACAUCGCGAUUCAUCCUGGUUCUAUUAGAAUGACAAGGAAGCUGUUAUAUUCCCAAACAGGAAAACUGGGAUCACCUGAUUUGAAAGUGGGAUAACUUCUUCAUCCUAACUCCUAUGAGAUUUAUUCAACUUCCUAGUAAUUCCCCAUUACUUUAUAAAUCAAAAUCAAGCUUCUUACAUCGCGAUUCAUCCUGGUUUGAUUAGAAUGACAAAGAAGCUGUCAUAUUCCCAAACAGGAAAACUGGGAUCACCUGAUUUGAAAGUGGGAUAGCUUCUUCAUCCUAACUCCUAUGAGAUUUAUUCAGCUUCCUGAUGAUUCUCCACUACUUUAUGUAUCAAAAUCAAGCUUCUUACAUCGCGAUUCAUCCUGGUUCUAUUAGAAUGACAAGGAAACUGUUAUAUUCCCAAACAGGAAAACUGGGAUCACCUGAUUUGAAAGUGGGAUAGCUUCUAUAUCCUAACUCCUAUGAAAUUUAUUGAACUUCCUAGUGAUUCUCCAUUACUUUAUAUAUCAAAAUCAAGCUUCUUACAUCGCGAUUCAUCCUGGUUUGAUUAGAAUGACAAAGAAGCUGUCAUAUUCCCAAACAGGAAAAUUGGGAUCACCUGAUUUGAAAGUGGGACAGCUUCUUCAUCCUAACUCCUAUGAGAUUUAUUCAACUUCCUAGUGACUCUCCAUUACUUUAUGUAUCCAAAUCAAGCUUCUUACAUCGCGAUUCAUCCUGGUUUGAUUAGAAUGACAAAGAAGCUGUCAUAUUCCUAAACAGGAAAACUGGGAUCACCUGAUUUGAAAGUGGGAUAGCUUCUUCAUCCUAACUCCUAUGAGAUUUAUUCAACUUCCUAGUGAUUCUCCAUUACAUUAUGUAUCCAAAUCAAACUUCUUACAUCGCGAUUCAUCCUGGUUUGAUUAGAAUGACAAAGAAGCUGUCAUAUUCCCAAACAGAAAAACUGGGAUCACUUGAUUUGAAAGAGGGAUUGCUUCUUCAUCCUAACUCCUAUGAGAUUUAUUCAACUUCCUAGUGAUUCUUCAUUACUUUAUAUAUCAAAAUCAAGCUUCUUACAUCGCGAUUCAUCCUGGUUUGAUUAGAAUGACAAAGAAGAUGUCAUAUUCGCAAACAGGAAAACUGGGAUCACCUGAUUUGAAAGUGGGAUAGCUUCUUCAUCAUAACUCCUAUGAGAUUUAUUCAACUUCCUAGUGAUUCUCCAUUACUUUAUAUAUCAAAAUCAAGCUUAUUACAUCGCGAUUCAUCCCGGUUUGAUUAAAAUGACAAAGAAGCUGUCAUAUUCCCAAACAGGAAAAUUGGGAUCACCUGAUUUGAAAGUGGGACAGCUUCUUCAUCCUAACUCCUAUGCGAUUUAUUCAACUUCCUAGUUAUUCUCCAUUACUUUAUGUAUCAAAAUCAAGCUUCUUAGAUCUGGAUUCAUCCUGGUUUGAUUAGAAUGACAAGGAAGCUGUCAUAUUCCCAAACAGGAAAACUGGCAUCACCUGAUUUGAAAGUGGGAUAGCUUUUUCAUCCUAACUCCUAUGAGAGUUAUUCAACUUCCUAGUGAUUCUCCAUUACUUUAUGUAUCCAAAUCAAACUUCUUACAUCGCGAUUCAUUCUGGUUCGAUUAGAAUGACAAAGAAGCUGUCAUAUUCCUAAACAGAAAAACUGGGAUCACUUGAUUUGAAAGUGGGAUAGCUUCUUCAUCCUAACUCCUAUGAGAUUUAUUUAACUUCCUAGUGAUUCUCCAUUACUUUAUGUGUCAAAAUCAAGCUUCUUACAUCUCGAUUCAUCUUGGUUUGAUUAGAAUGACAAGGAAGCUGUCAUAUUCCCAAACAGGAAAACUGGGAUCACCUGAUUUGAAAGUGGGAUAGCUUCUUCAUCCUAACUCCUAUGAGAUUUAUUCAACUUCCUAAUGGUUCUCCACUACUUUACGUAUCCAAUUCAAGCUUCUUACAUCACGAUUCAUCCUGGUUUGAUUAGAAUGACAAAGAAGCUGUCAUAUUCCCAAACAGGAAAACUGGGAUCACCUGAUUUUGAAAGUGGAAUAGCUUCUUCAUCCUAACUCCUAUGAGAUUUAUUCAACUUCCUAGUGAUUCUCCAUUACUUUAUGUAUCAAAAUCAAGCUUCUUACAUCGCGAUUCAUCCUGGUUCGAUUAGAAUGACAAGGAAGCUUGUAUAUUCCCAAACAUGAAAACUAGGAUUGUUAAGAUGAGUUUAGUAUAUGAGAAGAGAUGACUUGAGGAGCUAAGGGAAAUGGAGUUAGGAGAAGAUUGGGCAAGGCCGUACAGAAGCCGUACUAGGCCGUACAGAUUGGGCAAGGUAACUUGACAUCCGUGAACCAAAGUUACUUAGGUAACUUUGUGUGUUGAGAAGAAGCCUUGCUUAUCCUUAUCCGAUCAGACUGUUGCAAAAGGAAGAAGGGAGCGCACAUGACAGCCUGUCCGCGGUUGGCAUAAAGCAAAAGGAACCUUAUCCUUAAGGAGGAAGCUUAUUGGAUCAUUUGAAUUAAAGCAAAAGCUUAUCCCUUGUAAUAGUGUAGUUUCCUAAACCCUAGUCUCUAAUGUCGCCUCUCUAUAUAUUGUAAACUCAUGUCAUUAAUCAAAGUAAGAAAGUUAUGAGUCUCUCUUAGUCUCUUUGUCUCUCAAUGGUUCUAUACUAGACUCUUAAUCUCAUUUCAUACUCAAAUCUCUUCUAAAUCACUUCUAGUCUUUCUUAUUCACUCAGAUUACUCUACUCAAUCCUAAAAGUGAUAUGGUAUCAGAGCCAGGUUCCUAGAGAACUUGGUUUCGUUGGGUUCUUUGAAGAUUCAAGAUUGAAGCUUUGAAGAAACAGUUUGGUGUUCUUGUGUUCUUAAGCGGUUCUGGGUAGUCUUUCUGAGUUCUAUUGGUUGUUUGAAGCUGCUAGUGUUCGCUCAAGACAGUUACCUCAAGAGAAAGUUAUUGAAGUCUAAAGGGUUCUACAUUCAACAUGGAGAGUGGGAUGAACAUGAACAUGAAGGUGGCGGUUUGUUUCAAGGGAAACAACUACUUGGUGUGGUCUCGGAUGGUGAGAACCACAGUGGGAAGCAAGGGGCUUUGGAAGCACAUCACGCCAGGAGAAGCUCCAAAGCUCAUCACCCAAGGAGAGGCUGAAGAUGAAGCGGCAAGCAAGGCAGAAGAGAAGUGGCAUCAAGAGGACAUGUUGGUGAUGUCAGUGCUCCAUGCGUCCCUUGAGCCGGCUAUUCUGGAUGCAUACAGCUACUGUGAGUCUGCUAAAGAGCUGUGGGAUACCUUGAAGAAGGUGUAUGGCAACACUUCAAACCUAAGCCGGGUGUUUGAAGUGAAGCAAGCCAUCAACAACCUUGUACAAGAAGACAUGGAGUUCACCAAGCAUCUAGGGAGAUUCAGGAGUCUCUGGUCCGAGAUGGAGAUGCUUAGGCCAAGCACAACGGAUGCUGAUGAGCUUAACAAGAGGAGAGAGCAAGACAAGGUCUUUGGGCUACUCCUCACGCUGAACCCGGCUUACAACGGUCUCAUCCAGCACCUGCUGAGGGAGGACAAUCUACCUGAUCUUGAGGAUGUGUGUGCACGGAUUCAGAAGGAGCAAGGCUCCAUUGGGCUGUUUACAAAGAAGGGAGACCUUUCCCUUGCAAGCCAAGCAACUCAAGAGGAGGGGAGUGAAGCUCCGCAAGCAAACAAGGUUGCUGCGCAUGGGAAGUUUGAGGAGAGGAGGUUCAAUGGGAACUGUGAUCACUGGAAGAAGCAUGGCCACAAGAAGAGCCAAUGCUGGAUCCUUCACCCACACCUCAAUCCGGCAAAGUUCAUGAAGGACCGUGAAGCAAGGGCUAAUGCAUCAGAUGGAACGGGUGGAGCUGGUACAAGCAAAGGAAAGGAGAUAGAUGGGCGUGAGGCAGGGGAUGGGAAGUCUCUUGCUGCCUACACCGGGGCACCAAGCAACCGUGGGAACAAUGACCAAGAGUAUCUAAGGAGAUCCGACCUUGAUGCUCUCAUUAAGAUGUUCAAGGAGAAUGGUAACAUCUUUGGGUAUUCUUUUGGUGCUAGGAUGGUAGAGAACUAUGAGAAUCUAACUAGAACUGAUAGGAUGCAUGAGAGCUUGAUAGAAAUGGUAAAUCAAUCUAGGAUUGCAAACCUUGCUAGAAAUGAUCAUGCAUUCAAACCAUCUAGUAUCCUUGCGCAUAUUGCUAGUUCUCAUGACAUUAAGCCAUUAGUGAUUGAUUCAGGUGCAUCUCAUCAUAUGAUAAGUGAUACUAGCUUGAUUAAAAACAUUGUGCCAAUGAAUGGAAAUGUAAUGAUUGCUAAUGGAGAUAAGAUUCCUAUUAGAGGAAUAGGAAGUCUUAAACUGUUUAAUAAGGAAACUAAAGCUUUUUAUAUGCCUGAAUUUACAUCAAACUUGUUAUCUGUUAAGAAGUGUGCUACUGAUUUGCAAUGCAAUGUUAUAUUCAGUCCUAAUGAUGUUAAGUUUCAGGAUAUUAAAAGCAGCAAGAUGAUCGGAAAGGGAGUGACUAAAGGAGAGCUAUAUUUACUUGAAGAUCUCACUCCUGUUUCUAGAUAUAGCUGCUCGUUUACUUCUGUUUCUAGUUCUGGUUUAAGUAAAAAUGCAUUGUGGCAUGCUAGAUUAGGACACCCUCAUAAUAAGGCUUUAAAACUGAUGUUGCCAGGUGUUUCCUUUGAGAAUAAUGAUUGUGAAGCUUGCAUUUUAGGCAAGCAUUGUAGAACUGUCUUUACCAAGUCUACUACUGUUUAUGAAAAAUGUUUUGAUCUUAUUCAUUCUGAUGUUUGGACUGCACCCUGCCUAUCUAGAGAAAACCAUAAGUAUUAUGUAACUUUCAUUGAUGAAAAAUCCAAAUACACCUGGUUAACCUUAAUUCCAACCAAAGAUAGGGUACUUGAUGCAUUUAAAAACUUUCAAUCCUAUGUGACUAACCAUUACAAUGCCAAGAUAAAGAUUUUCAGGUCAGAUAAUGGAGGAGAGUACACGGGACAAGCAUUCAAACUACACCUAUCUCAGCAUGGAAUCCUUCAUCAGACAAGCUGUCCCUAUACCCCACAACAGAAUGGUGUGGCUGAGAGGAAGAACAGGCAUUUGAUGGAAGUAGCCAGGUCCAUGAUGUUUCAAUCCAAUGUGCCUAAGAAGUUUUGGAGUGAUGCUGUUGCUACGGCAUGUUAUCUCAUCAACAGGACACCAACUCUGAUCCUUCAAGGACAAUCACCAUUUGAGGUACUGAAUCAGUACAAGCCUUCUCUCGAGCAUAUGAAGGUCUUUGGGUGUUUGUGUUUUGUGAUGGUGCCUGGAGAGAUAAGAAACAAGCUAGAAGCUAAGAGUUCAAAGGCAAUGUUCAUUGGAUACUCAUCAAGUCAGAAAGGAUACAAGUGCUAUGAUCCUAACACAAGGAGAGUGUUAGUAUCUAGAGAAGUGAAGUUUGUUGAAGAGAAAGGAUAUUAUGAGGAACAGAUUCAAGAAGACUUGAAGGAUCUUACCUCUGAUAGAGCUGAAACCUUGAGGAUUAUCCUAGAAGGCCUUGGAAUCAACAUGAAUCAAGGACAUCAAGAGGGGAGAAGUACUACCACAGUCCCGGAUCAUCAGACUUCCAACCUUGAGCAUGAGGGGGGGAAUGAAACAAGAACUAGAGAAGAGAGUUCUGGCUCUCAUGAUCAAGCUGUGGAAUCAAAUGAUCAAGAAGAAGGAGCUGAAGAGAGUCAGCUAAGGGAAGAAGGAGCUGAAGCAAGUCAGCUAGGAGAAGAAAGAUCUGAAACAAGUGUGCUGCCACAAGAAGAAGAACAAGAGAUGGCACAAGAAGGGCCAGUAUUGAGAAGAAGUACAAGGCUGAGAAAGGAUCCUUCCAGUUGGGUAAACACAAGAGUGUACUACAAUGCCCAAGCUGUGAAGCAUCCUACUCAGGCCGUGUGUUCUUUUGCUCAAUAUCCAGAAGCACAUUGCGCAUUCAUGGUAAACUUGGAUGAGAAUCACAUUCCAAGAAGCUAUGAAGAGGCAAUGGAGGAUAAGGAAUGGAAGGAAUCAGUAGGAGCUGAGGCAGGAGCUAUGAUAAAGAAUGAUACAUGGUAUGAGAGUGAACUACCAAAAGGGAAGAAAGCUGUGUCUAGUAGAUGGAUCUUUACAAUCAAGUACAAGGCUGAUGGGUCGAUUGAGAGGAAGAAGACUAGACUAGUAGCAAGAGGGUUCACUCAGACAUAUGGAGAGGAUUACAUUGAAACAUUUGCACCAGUGGCCAAGCUACACACCAUUAGGAUUAUUUUAAGCUUGGCUGUGAACCUUGGAUGGGGAUUGUGGCAAAUGGAUGUAAAGAAUGCAUUUCUACAAGGAGAACUUGAGGAUGAAGUCUAUAUGUAUCCUCCAUCAGGUCUGGAACAUCUAGUGAAGAGAGGGAAUGUACUGAGGCUAAAGAAAGCUAUUUAUGGGUUGAAGCAAUCACCAAGAGCUUGGUAUAACAAGUUGAGCACAACUUUAAACGGCCGAGGCUUCAAGAAGUCAGAGUUGGAUCACACUCUCUUUACACUCACGACACCCUCAGGUAUGGUUGCUCUCCUUGUGUAUGUGGAUGAUAUCAUUAUCACUGGGAGUGAUAAGGAAGGUAUCAAAGCAACCAAGGAGUUUCUAAAGUCUAUGUUUGAAAUCAAAGACUUGGGAGAAAUGAAAUACUUUCUUGGAAUUGAGAUUUGUAGAUCCAAGGAAGGUUUGUUCAUGUCCCAAAGGAAGUAUACACUUGAUCUUUUGAAAGGUGCAGGUGCUUAUGGAGGCAAGACAGCAAGGAUGCCAAUGGAGGAUGGCUACAAAGUACCAAGAGAGGGGGAGAUUGAAGACAGCAAGCCAUUUCAUGAUCCUAAACUCUAUAGAACACUUGUUGGCAAAUUGAUUUACCUUACCAUUACAAGGCCUGAUAUAUGUUUUGCUGUGAAUCAGGUGAGCCAACACAUGCAGCUUCCCAAGGAACAUCACUGGCGCAUGGUGGAGAGGCUGUUGAUGUAUCUGAAUGGCUCGCCGGAUCAAGGAGUAUGGAUGGGGUGCAAUGGAAGCACAGAAGUGGUGGGCUAUUGUGAUGCUGAUUGGGCAGGAGAUAGAGCUGACAGGAGAUCAACCACAGGCUAUUGCACAUUCAUUGGAGGCAACUUGGUGACUUGGAAGAGCAAGAAACAGAAGGUGGUGUCAUGUUCAAGUGCAGAAGCUGAGUAUAGAGCUAUGCUGAAGCUCACAAACGAGUUGGUGUGGAUCAAAGGCAUCUUGAAGCACUUGGAGAUUGAUCAAGCCACUCCAAUGACUAUGCAUUGCGACAAUCAAGCUGCCAUUCACAUUGCAUCCAACUCGGUGUUCCAUGAGAGAACCAAGCACAUUGAGGUUGAUUGCCACAAGGUGAGACAGAUGAUUGUGCUUGGAGUGAUCUUACCUUGCUAUACAAGAAGUGAAGAUCAGUUGGCUGAUGUGUUCACCAAGGCAGCAAGACAAAAGACUAUGGAGUCCAUUCACAUUAGAUUGGGACUCAUAGAUCUUGGGAAGAGAAGGAGCUGAUCCCCUUAGCUGUGAGAUCUUUACUCUUUUUCCCUCAUUAAGGUUUUAUCCCAAUGGGUUUUCCUUAGUGAGGUUUUUAAUGAGGAAGAUCUCAUGGCUGUCCAAGCUUAGACUUUCACAAAGCUAAGCUUGAGGGGGAGUGUUAAGAUGAGGAGAGUUAAGUGAAGAAGGGAGAUGAGGCUUGAGUAGAAUGAGGAUAAGGAAGGCUAGGAAGGUUUGGGAGCUUUGAGAUCAACCAGUCCGUACAAGGCCGUACAAGGCCGUACAUGACCGUACAAGAUGGGAUCGACCAAAGCUCAACCAAACCUUUACCUUGUGUUACCCGAGUUACUUAGGUAAAGAGGAGAAGUUACCUUAGCCUUUGUGGGAUGGAUCAGACCGUUGGAAAGGAUAAGGGCGAGUCUUGGACAGGCUGUCACAGCUGGAAAGUGAAAGCAAAAGGAAGCAGCCAGCUAAAGAUGCUUCACACGGAUUGAUCACCUUAUUGGAUGGUUUUAAAUUAAGCCUUGACUCCACAUGCUUAUCUUAUCCUCUUGUUUACGAAAACCCUAAUCUCUCUCUUCAUAUAUAUAUGUAAACUCUCUCAUUAAUACAAUUAAGAAAGUUAUGAGUCUCUCUUAGUCUCUUUGUCUCUCAAUGGUUCUAUACUAGACUCUUAAUCUCAUUUUAUACUCAAAUCUCUUCUAAAUCACUUCUAGUCUUUCUUAUUCACUCAGAUUACUCUACUCAAUCCUAAAAGUGAUAAUAGGAGUUAGGAUGAAGAAGCUAUCCCACUUUCAAAUCAGGUGAUCCCAGUUUUCCUGUUUGGGAAUAUGACAGCUUCUUUGUCAUUCUAAUCAAACCAGGAUGAAUCGCGAUGUAAGAAGCUUGAUUUUGAUACAUAAAGUAGUGGAGAAUCACCAGGAAGCUGAAUAAAUCUCAUAGGAGUUGUCCGGGACAAGAUGUGCAAACUUAGGGCGUGAUCAGAACAUGUCCGGGAGUCUUUGUGCAUACUUAGGGCUGGUAAAAAGAAGUCUGGUCGUGAAGCAUCAAAAGGGAAUCAAGAAGAUCCUUUGUGGAAGCAAGCGACCAAUGAGAGCAAAGAUGGAGCUGAUUGGUUACUUUGGAGGAUGGACAGGCUGGCUUUGGCUGUAAAGCAAGGGGAGCCACGACCAUGAACAUGGUCUGAAUGAAGGCUUGAUACAUGGGAGCCUAUAAGGAGCCAAUGGGAGAACAGCCUUCCCUUUGACCAGUUUGAAUCAACCAAUCAGAUAUCAUAUAGCUCUCAUCCAAUCAAGACAUUUCACACAGAUUGCAAUCUCAACUCUUCAUCCUAGCCAUCCAUUUAUAUUCAGUCAUUUCUAUCCAUUAGAUUAAGGGUUUAUGAGUUUGCAAAAUGUAAAGUCUAUAUAAGACUAUGUAAUUGGCGAUUUCAAGCCUUAAGGGAGUUUGGGGGAUUUCCCCUCUCCACUUCAUAAUGAAAUGUGUUCUUGAAUCAGAUUCUCUUUAAUCUCUCCCUUUCUUAUACUCUUAAUCUCUCAAAGUCUCUUGUUUCUGAUUUAAGUAAACACAUAAACACUCUUAUAAACUCUCUCUCUAAAAUCACCUAAAACAAACUCUAAUCUUCUCAGCUUGCUCCAUUGGAGCUUAUACACACACACAACCUGAGAUCUCUGAAAAUCUCAUACAUCUCUCAUUGCAUAAUCAAUCACACUACACUUCCUGUAGAGUGAGGACUGACAUGUCCUAGUGAUGAUAUGCAAUGGCAAAAGACCUUUGUCUUUACAUUCUUGGUUGUUGGUGAGUUACUUGUAUCACUGCUUGUGUACCUAAACCACCACAACACAAUGCAAAAUUAAAUCAUCCUAUUGGGACCAAAGCAAGAUCACACAUCUUGUUUGAUCACCAAUGCCUCAACAAAAUAUUAAUUCUGAAAUAGGCAAACAAAAGAUCAAGGACAAGCACAAUCUAGACAAGGGUAACAAUGCAUGAUCAAUCCGACAGUUCAAUGCAUGAAUGCAAUAACUUAGACAGCACCUAAUUGAUGCAAGACAAUUUCAAGAGAUAAACCUAUCAUGAUUGUAUAGAAAGAGAUAAAGAUCAGGUUUACUCCCUUGUAUAAAUGGUGAGCUUGACAGCUCCUUCUCUUAUCAUGCAAGCUCAUCCACACUCCUCUUCAGGCUUGAGACCAAGUAUAGGGAAGGUCUAAGCUUGUUGGUGAGCGCAUGAUAGCUCCAUGAUAAGUCUUGUGGAAAGCACCUCCAUCUCCUUUGGACUUGAUGCUUGAACCUCCACCACAUCAUCAUUCCAUUGAGGAGAUACCUCAGCCAAUUCUCCAAGCACCUCACACGCCUUGUUGAGUGACCUUCUUCUUCCCUCUACUUCGGCUGAAUCACUCCAUGAUCAGCUUGUAAUGACCUUGAGUAAUAUACAGGUCAUUGAGCAACAGGAUCAUCAGGUGGCUCACUUUGCUCCUCAAGCUUGGAUUGAGUAUGGGUCCAAACUCGAAGUGAGCCUCAAUGAGCCUUAAGAUCAGGAGCGCAACAUCUCAUGGAUUACGCUUCAACCACUGAUCAACCCUUCCCUUUAUCUCCAAUGCCUUUUGGUCACCAGUCUCCUCUAGACUUAGGUGAUGACCAUUCGCCUUGUGUAUCCACAUACACCCCAGCGACCAUUCCCAAUGGGUAAAGUCUUCCUCUUUUACUAAGAUUGAUGAUGAACAAAGAGCACAUCAUGUGAACCUGAAACAUCAAUCAAACUCCAGCAAAGAUUAGACACAAGCAUUGGGAUCAAUCCUUGACCAAUAUCAAGUUUGAUCUCCAAUGUAACAAGCUAUGCAACAGAUUGAAACAAGCAUUAUCAAAUUCACAUCUUUGCAAGCAAUCUCUCUAAGUACAAGCAAGAUCAAAUCAGAUUUAAGACGAGCUACUUAGGCAUUAACUUCUGCCUUAACUACAUUUUAGAUUUGAAUCUAAGUGUAUCAACCUAAGGCAGCAACAAUAUGACAGUAUGCAUUAAUCCUAAUCAGUUUCUAACUCAUGAAAGCAAGCAUGAUUAGAUAAUAUAAUCUAUCAUCUUAACAAGACAAGUUUAUUUAGAACUGUCAUUAAGCAUUUAACCAUUUUCAAUAGUAUUGAUGUCAAAGCUUGAUUAAUAUAUUAUCAAGUUUGAUUUCUACUAUCACAAGCAAUGCAACAGAUAGACACAAGGCAUUAUCAAGUUCUAUUCUUUGCAUGCUAACUCUCUAAGUACAAUCAAGAUCCUAACAGAUUCAAGACAAGUUACUUAGGCACUCUUCAGAGCUUCUUUACUCAGCACUUAGACAUAAAUCUAAUGCUUCAAUGUAAGACAGCCACAAGACUAUAUGCAACAGUUUUCAAUUCAGUUUCAAUCAAUGUAUGCAAGCAGAUUCACUUAAUCACAACAAGCAUCACUAGGGCGCGGCUAGGACAUGAGAUCCUGGGACACAAGACACUACUCAAUGCAAACAAUGUGACAGCGAAACAACUUCAGUACCAUUAUGCAAGUAGCUUAGACAUUCUACUAGAUGCUACAAUAUUAAUUGCAUUUUAGUUAUGGCAAUCACACAAUACAGAAGCAAAGCAAUCAUCACAGAACAAACCACACCACACAACACAGCCGUUUAAUAAAGACACAAGCUUUAAACAAGGGAAGGAGGUUUAGCUUACAAACAAGGAACCUGUGCUGGUUCCUUGAACCUCCAAGGCAACACGCAUCAUAAAUGGACAGAUCUGAGCUGUUGGUUUGAGAACCAACAUCUCCUUCUUUGCCUGGCCUUUCUCCUUGAACCCACCAUGCCAAAAACACCUCCUUUCACCAUGUUUGAGUCGCCACCACAAGACCCAAGUAGAAAGCUUUCUUCUUGAAAGGUUCUUCUUGGACAGAGAGUAGGAAAGGCUUGGACAUGCUUCCAAUGGCCUUAUUUCUUCAGGACGGACAUGAGAGAGUGUAGAACGACCAAGGACAGCUCCUGGACACCAUGGAUGAGCACAUCUUCUUCUUGAAGAGGUUGAACAGCCGGCUGGACCAUGAACCUUCUUCUUGGCUUGAAAUGGCAUGGGAGUGAGUUUGUGCUUGAGCGGAAGCUGGAACCAAGUUCUGACGAACCUGGCUCUGAUACCAUGUGAGAUUUUCAGAGCACAGGCUGUGUGUGGGCGUGAUGAAUCAACCUCCACAGGUUGGGACUGAGUCUUGUGUCAACAAUGGAAGAGAAUAAAAGAGAGACUGAUGGAAGAAUAAGAAUGGCGUGAGAUUAAGAGACUUUGAGUGAGAGAUUGAGAGAUUAGAGAGACUGAGAGAUUAAGUAACCAGAGAAUAGAGAUUUGGAGAUUCAAAGUAACCAAAGACUAGGAAGGAGAAGGGGAAAUCCCCCUUACUCUCUUAGAGAGUUUACAAUUCGUCCAUAAAGGGUCUUUAAAUAGAAAACAGGUUGCAAACUCAUAAAACCCUAAGUUAAGGAUAAGAAAUGGACAGUGGAGGUAGCCUGGUUUGAAAUGGACGUUCUGGAUCAGGUCUUGGGUUGUUUGUAGCUGGUUGUAUGCUCCUGAUUGGAUGUGGGAAUGCUUGGCUAGAAAUACUCCACACUGCCUUAUGUAUCUGUCCAUAUCUUUGUCCAGAUACAUAGCCAGCCUUUGUCUCUUUCUUUCCAGCAACAUCCAGCCUGUCUUGGACUAUCAUAAGCCAAUCAGAACCGUGUGCCAGCUCCCUUAGAUUCCCAUUGCACACAGCAUCUUCUUGAUGCUCUUUUGAUACCAUUACUCAACCCGGACCUUGCACAUACUUCUCAGACCGUACCCUUGUGCCCUAUUUUUGCACAAACACCAAAUGUCUUCAGAUGGUUGAGAAAAGAUGUUUCGGGUCGAUCUCAUCCGUACCGGUCCGUACAGUCCGUACUAUGAUUUUAGAGAGUUGAACAGGUAUUGAGAGAUUUAGAGAAAGAUUAAAGUGAGAUGAGAUGAUUUAUGAAAUGUAGAAGAGAAACAUGAUGAACUAGAGAGAGAAUCUGACAAACUCGUGUUAAUCAUUAAUCAAGACAGAGUUUACAAUAUAUAGAGAGAGACAUUAGGGUAUUCAGAAGCUCUAAGCAUGUGUGGUCAAGGAUAAGGUUGCUUUAAUUCAAAUGUAAACCAAUGAGGAAGAUCACACGCUUGUGGCAUCUUUUGGUGAGACUCCUUUUGCCUUUACAGCCUGUGCCAGACUGUCAGGAUAAGCCGCGGUCACUCUAUCCAUCCAAACGGUCUUAUCUCCUAAAGUAAAACCCCUUUGGCCGUUUAACCCUUUCACCCGGGUAACUUUCCUCUUGGUCGAGUUAUGGAUCGACCCGGACAGUACGGACGGUACGGCCGGUACGGCCUCUUGUACGGCCUGGUCGAUCCCUAACCUUCCUUCCCUUUGCCUUCACAUUCUCACAUCCUCAACUCCUUAAGCCAUCUCCCCAUGUACUGAACAACUCAUUUUAACACUCCCCCUCAAGCUUAACUUAGUAACUUAGUUAAGCUUGGAACCACCAUGAGAUCUUCCUCAUUAAAAACCUCACCAAGGAAAACCCAUUGGGACAAAACCUUGAUGAGGGAAAAAGAGUGAAGACCUCAUGGCAAAAGGGGAUCAGCUCCUUUGGGAAAGAUCUAUGAGCCCCAAUCUGGUAUGAAUGGACUCCAUAGUCUUUUGUCUUGCGGCCUUGGUGAACACAUCCGCAAGUUGAUCCUCACUCCUUGUGUAGCAUGGCAAGAUCACUCCCAAGACAAUCAUCUGCCUCACCUUGUGACAAUCAACUUCAAUGUGCUUGGUUCUCUCAUGGAAGACUGAGUUGGUCGCAAUGUGUAUAGCCGCUUGAUUAUCACAAUGCAUAGUCAUUGGAGUUCCCUGCUCUAUCUCCAAGUGCUUCA